rnacentral:lncRNA from 1 species
AAGGGAAGGAUACGCCAUUCGACCCAGCAGCAGAUUAAGUCAACCCCAGUAAGGCCAUUGUUUGUCAGAGAUCUUAACUCGGACAGUACUGGGAUAAAAUCUGACUCCUCUUCUUCUUGGCAGUCUCAGGCUGCAUUUCGCUCAGCCCGUGUGACCUGUGAAGGUCCUCUUGCGCCUUGCCUGUUAGGCUGCCUACGCUGCCAUGAGCUCAUUAGUCUUGCUCUUCAGCUUGAGCUUCGAUAUCACACACUUGGCGCAUGCACUCAGACUUGAMMCACUCCAGCUAUCUCAUAGACUGUCUUUGUCUCGAAGGUCCAUCCCAGUUUUGCUCCUCCUGGUACCUCUAUCUUAGCCACCUCUAAGCGCCAUCCGCAAGGCCAAGGGUCUCUAAUCUCUACGGUCAGGGACUUCGACAUCUUCCAUUCUAUGUCACUGGUGGAUGAGGGCUCGUUUUCAAAACUUCAGUUCAAUGGACUGCCAAAGUCCACCGUAUUGGCAUUGCCUGCCUAUGCUCNUUCCGAAUUUCAUCACCUGCUAGGUCCUUGGACGUCCCUUNNNNNNNNNNNNNNNNNNNNNNNNNNNNNNNNNNNNNNNNNNNNNNNNNNNNNNNNNNNNNNNNNNNNNNNNNNNNNNNNNNNNNNNNNNNNNNNNNNNNGGCGGUGAGACGCCGGAGAGAGGGGGUGGUUGGGCAUCGGAGGAAGGGCUGAGUGGUGGUGGGCGCUGGAGGGUAGGGGCUUUGCCGCCGGCGACCUGAUCGGGAGGGUGGCCGGUGGUGCAUUGGAGGAGGGGGGUGGUGGUCGGGACGAGAGAGGAGUCGGGGGCCGAGAGUGGUGGUCGCGACGGGGGAGGAGUCUGGGUACGAGAGAGAAGAGAGGUGGUGAGAGGAUAAGGUCGGGUGGAGGUGAGUGGUGGGCCAGCCGAGUUGAGUGGAUGCGGUGGAUCCUGGGUGGGAGAGGCAGCGACGGUGGGAUGGGCCGCCACGUCAUCGAUCCAUGGGAUCGAUCCGCGUGGUGUGCUUUCUCUUUGCCGUCAUCCGGUUAUUUUUCAAGACGACAAAUUAAGUCGUUGCCGUCAUCCGGUUUUUUUACAGACGACAAAAUAUUUUUUCACCACGUCCGUGCGUGGUGGUGUAGGUGGGGGUUGGGUCGUCGGUCGUGUACGUCUACGUAGUCCUUUCCCAACGUCCAUUCNNNNNNNNNNNNNNNNNNNNNNNNNNNNNNNNNNNNNNNNNNNNNNNNNNNNNNNNNNNNNNNNNNNNNNNNNNNNNNNNNNNNNNNNNNNNNNNNNNNNACUUGGAGAUGAAGUCGCCAGCUUGGGUAGAACCCGGCCCAAACUAGGCGGGUUACCAACCAGAUAAUUAUCCCCCUAACGAUUUAGGCCCCCAGAUUGACUUGAAUUUUUUUUCACCGCCAAAUAUUUCUCACCCACGUUAGGGCGAUUCAUCUCAAUCCUUUUACGAACCAUGCACUUAAAACCGCCAUCUGUUGCGGAAAAAACUUCAAGUCGCCGAACCACUUCUUGUUGGCGCCUUCUUAGUCCCUUUAACCUCGGAAGAGAUGAUUGACGUAAUCUCCAACGGAUCCUUCGGUUAUUGCUAUCCCGAAAAUUUUGGGGCGCCAUCAUGGCGAAUCUUUAUCUUUUUUGGCAGUUACCCACUCGUGGCGCCCUCGAUCCCAGCGCCUGACCUUGCCAUGACAAAUGAAGAUGAUAUGUGUCACAAGUGCACACUUGAAGUUUGCCAUCAUGUUCUAACUUCUAUGCCGGUGGCUGUGGAGGAACAAGUGUGUCGUGACGAGGGUGGUGUUGGCUAAUUGAGGUAUGAACCNNNNNNNNNNNNNNNNNNNNNNNNNNNNNNNNNNNNNNNNNNNNNNNNNNNNNNNNNNNNNNNNNNNNNNNNNNNNNNNNNNNNNNNNNNNNNNNNNNNNAAAAAAGGACUCUUGUAAAACCCUAAGGGACUUUGACCCUGUAUAUGAAGGGCGAGUCCCAGGGGAAGGAGAGGGGGAGGUUAGAAAUCAUCGAGUGCUUAGGGUCAGGCGAGUUACGCCCCCCUUGUAAUCGAAAACACCAUCAAUACAAAACACCAAAMCAGGGACGUAGGCCUUUACCUCCUAACGAGGGGCCGAACCUGGGUAAAUCUCUGGCCUCGCUCCCCGCAUAMCCCCUUUUGAGUUGCCACCAAGAUGCGAUGGGCUCCAACACUAAGUACUUUCACGAGGACAUCUGCCGUGACAAAACAACGACACCUUCCACCAGCCCAGUCGCAUGGGCUUAGGUGGGGAGGGGCGCCCAGCCCACCAGGCGCUGGUAUGCACUCUUCUCAGCCCAUGUGGCCCCUCGGGGCAGGUCGGACCCUUUCAACACUCCUGGUACUCUGAGGUAAUGCCCGAACUUUCCGGUGACCAAAAAUGGAACUUCCUGUAUAUGAAUAUUUACCUCCUACCUAUUUUGAAGAUCCUAAAUCCCUUAAACUUAAGAGAAUAUGUACUCAUCAUCAGAGUGGUCUGAUCGCGCGAAGAAAACUUUACAUCCAUCUGAUAAGUGGGGANAUUACUGUCCAGUGUCUUAUGGUACAUAGCAAUGAUNNNNNNNNNNNNNNNNNNNNNNNNNNNNNNNNNNNNNNNNNNNNNNNNNNNNNNNNNNNNNNNNNNNNNNNNNNNNNNNNNNNNNNNNNNNNNNNNNNNNGAGAGAGAGAGAGAGANAGAGUAGAGGAGAGAGAGAGAGAGAGAGAGAGAGACGAGAGAGAGAGAGAGUAGAGAGAGAGAGAGAGAGAGAGAGAGAGAGAGAGAGAGAGACGACGACGACGUACGUCGUCUCUCUCUCUCUCUCUCUCUCUCUCUCUCUCUCUCUCUCUCUCUCUUCUUCUUCUUCUUCUUCUUCUUCUUCUCUCUCUCUCUUCUUCUUCUUCUUCUUCUCUCUCUCUCUCNCUCCUCCUCCUCUUCUCCUCUUCUUCCUCCGCUUCUUCUUCUUCUUCCUCUUAUUUCUAGUUCUAUUUUUCUUUAUCCUCUUCUUCUACUUAUUCUUCUUUUCUUCUUUUUUUCUCUUCUUCUCCUUAUUUUCUUCUUCUUAUCUUCUUCUCUUAUUCUUUUCUACUUCUCCUUCUUAUUUCUUUUCUUCGCCUCUUCUUCUUCUCCUUCUUAUUUUUUUUCUCUCCUCUUCUUCUUCUUCUUCUUCUUCUUCUUCUUCUCCUUCUUUAUUUUUUCUCUUCUUCUUCUUCUUCUUCUUCUACUUCUUCUCCUCCUCCUCCUYCUCNCNCCNCNCNCUACNCNCUCUCUCUCUCUCUCUACUCUCUCUCUCUCUCUCUCUCUCUCUCUCUACUNNNNNNNNNNNNNNNNNNNNNNNNNNNNNNNNNNNNNNNNNNNNNNNNNNNNNNNNNNNNNNNNNNNNNNNNNNNNNNNNNNNNNNNNNNNNNNNNNNNNGACUGGUUCUUUACGUCUCUGAAUUGGACUACCUCCUUUCCCAACACUUUGGUAUGUCCCUUGCCAUGGCCUGUAUCCGAUCAUAUUCCCUGUUCGGUCGAAAUAGAAACCAACAUUCCACGCAACAAAACGUUCCGCUUUGAAACAUACUAGAUUGCCCACCGAGGGUUUAUGGAGACAGUCUCGCUAGCAUGGAAUAAACCCGUCAAACAUGGUCAGAAUAGCAAUGCAACAACGAUAAUCUGUCAGAAACUUACAGCUGUUCGAUUUGCACUAUGAAGAUGGAGUAGCGGUAUCUCCCGCCUUAAGGUAGCAACCAUCAACACCAAUAAGGCGUUGCUGGAGUUAGACUCCCUCAAAGAUCGACGUACUCUCACCACGCCAGAAUGAAACUUCCGACGCGUCCUCAAAAAUCACCUUCUCAGGUUGCUAAAAUACCAGAAAGAAUACUGGGGCAAGAGAUGCUCCAUCAGAUGGAUCAAGUUUGGAGAUGAAAACACAAAGUUUUUUCAAACAGUGGCAACUGAACGGUAUCGACGCAACUUUGUGGCUACACUCAGAACUGAUGCAGGGAUCGUGGUUGAGACACAUGCCAGCAAGGAGGCUCUCCUGUUUGACACCUAUAGAAGAAGGAUGGGCGCGGCAAGAGCUCCCGAUAUACGGUUUGAUUGAACGCAACUACGGCGACAAGGCAUCGACUUUGAAGUUCUUACGAUCCCCUUUGCACAAGAGGAAAUAGACCCUGUAGUGAAAGAGAUGCCAGCUGACAAAUCUCCAGGGCCGGACGGUUUUAACGGCGCCUUUCUUAAAACUUGUUGGCAUAUCAUCAAGAAAGACUUCUAUGAUCUUUGUGACGAAUUCCACCGAGGUAAUCUCAACUUGGAACCUCUGAAUUAUGGGCACAUCACGCUCAUCCCCAAGACGGCUUCUCCUGAGACAGUGAACGACUAUCGUCCCAUUACCCUGCUUAACUGCUGCCUCAAGAUGAUCACCAAGAUACUGGCGCAGCGACUCCAGAAGAUCAUUCUACAGAUUGUGCAUUAAAACUAGUAUGGGUUCCUCCGUGGUAGAUCUAUACAUGACUGCUUGGCAUGGGCUUUCGAGUAUAUACACCAAUGUCAAAGCUCUCGAAAUGAUAUAGUCCUGCUUAAAUUAGACUUUGCUAAAGCUUUUGAUACGGUUGAACAUUCGGCUAUGAUCACCAUCAUGCAACGUAUGUGGUUUAAUUCAAAGUGGAUCCAAUGGAUGCAAUGCAUCUUCUCGUCUGGAAAAUCAUCGGUAUUACUGAAUUGAGUCCCUAGUAAACAAUUCCCCUGCAGAUGUGGAGUAAGACAGGGAGACCCUCUCUCACCAUUGAUAUUUGUGCUGGCGGCGGACAUACUCCAAACAAAGAUUAACAAACAACUAAAUUUGGGCUUGUUAUCCCACCCUAUCGACACAAGAGGCGAUGCUGACUUUCCAGUAAUCCAAUAUGCCGAUGACACCAUCAUCAUCAUGCACGCGUGUGAUGUCAAGGCUGCGAGAAUGAAAAGAAUACUAGAUGACUUCGCCACGACGAUAGGGCUCGGGAUUAACUAUCAGAAAUCAACCCUAGUUCCUAUCAAUGUGACUCAAUAGGUAUGUGACAACAUCAUCUCGAUCUUUCGUUGUGCGCAGGCAACAAUGUCGUUCACCUAUCUAGGGCUCCCGCUGGGUACAUCUAAACCUAAUUUCCUGGAUAUGACACCGUUAGUCUGUAAAGCGGAGAGGAAAAUCACAGCUGCCAUGGCGCUGAUGUCGCAUGCGAGCAUAUUGGCCUUGAUGAACUCACUGGUCACGUCGCUACUCGUGUACCCAAUGUGGACCCUCAGAAUCCCCCCAACGAUUGUAGAACAAUUUGAUAAACUCCGGAGGACGUGCCUAUGGAGAAAAAAGACUGAAGAUGGAUUCAAAAGUAAUACACUAGUGGCGUGGAACGCAGUUUGCCGCCUGAAAGAGUAUGGCGGCCUAGGGGUCCUGAACCUCAAACUACAGAAUGACGCGAUGCUUCUAAAGAUGCUUCACAAGUUCAACAACAGAAAAUAAAUCCCAUGGGUAGCAUUGAUCUGGAACACACACUACGGGGGAGCAAUCCCCCAUGCGCAAGAUCGUUGUGGCUCUUUCUGGUGGCGAGAACUGACUAAACUUAUGCCGGUGUUCCAAGGUAUAAAGCGAGUCAAUGUUAACAAUGGUCUCUCAACGCUCUUUUGGAAAGACAACUGGAACAAUGCCGUAUAUGCAGAAAAGUUCCCUCGGGCUUUCUCCUUUGCUAGAACUGAAGAUGCCUCGGUUCAGAACUUCUUGGGGACUAGCUCGCUUCAAGAAGCCUUCUCGCUGCCCCUGUCAGAACAAGCGCAUAAUGAACUCAGAAUGAUGCAACAAGAAAUCAGAGACGUGCAGCUAAACCCUAGGGGAGAUGACUGGGUGUGUUCUUGGGGAGCUGGCACCUUUGAAACGGUAGCAUAUCGACGUUUCUAUUUGAAAGAGACUACGGUGCACCCAGCGUUUCACUGGCUGUGGAAAACAAAGUGUGUCCCAAAGAUCAAGGUAUUUGGAUGGUUUUUGCUGAUGGACAGGCUCAACACAAGGAAUAUGCUCAAACAGAGACAUUACAACAUAGGGGAUACUCUCGAUUGCAUGCUAUGCGAUCGACACAUGGAGGAAACACUGGAACAUCUCUUCUUCAAAUGCAGCUUUAGCCAGCGCUGUUGGAAUAUGCUCAACAUCAAAUGGUCAGAACAACAACAUAGACUAGAGAAACUACAACAUCAGAGGACAACACACCCCAGGGACAUGUUCAUGGAUAUUUUUCUGGUGGCAGCCUGGAGUCUAUGGAAGGAAAGAAAUAACAAGUGCUUUGAGCAAAUAACCCCAUCUCUUGGGGCCAGCCGACGUCAGUUUGUACCAGACAUCUCCAAUCUUAGACACCGUGUGCCUACUAGCAAAGUGCAAAACAUAGAUAACAUUGUGGCAACCCUAGCUGAUAUCACGUAAUAUGUAACCUCACCCUGCCCACCUCCCCCCUCCCCCCCAUCCCCAUUCCACCCCCUCCCCAUCAUGUACAUGUGUAACUAUUGGCUUUAUAUAUACAUGCAGUAGGAUUUUAUCCUACUGUCUUACACUCAAAAGAAAGCAAGCAAGUUGGAUGCACACCCACUAGUUUUCUUUAAGAGCUUUCACAUAGUCUUAGCUCUAGUGCAUCAUUUGUAUGGCAAUCCCUACUCAUUCACAUUGAUAUCUAUUGAUGAGCAUUUCCAUAGCUCAUUGAUAUGCCUAGUCAAUGUGACCAUCUUCUCCUUGUUUGCCUUGCAACCUCCACCACACUCCACUCCACUUAUAGUGCUAAAACCAUGGCUCACGCUCAUGUAUUGCAUGAGAGUUGAAAAAGUUUGAGAAAGUAAAGGUGUGAAAACAAUUACUUGGCCAAUACCAAGGUUGUGCAUGAUUUAAAUUCGUUUUGCAAUGAUGAUAGAGCAUAGCCAGACUAUAUGAUUUUGUAGGGAUAACUUUCUUUUGUCCUUGUUAUUUUGAAACUUCAUGAUUACCUUGCUAGUUUGCUUGAAGUAUUAUUGUCUCCACGUCAAUAGAAAACUAUUGUUUUGAAUCUAAUGGAUCUGAACAUUCACGUCACAUAAGAGGAGUUACAAAGGACAUCUAUGCUAGCUAGCAUGAAAGCAUAAAAAUUCAUUCUUUAUCACUUCCCUACUCGAGGACGAACAGGAGUUAAGCUUGGGGAUGCUUGAAACGUCUCAAACGUAUCUAUAAUUUUUGAUGGUUUCAUGCCGUUAUCUUGUCAACUCUCGAUGUUUUAUAUUCCUUUUAUAUGUUUUUUGGGACUAACUUAUUAAUUCAGUGCCAAGUGCCAGUUCCUGUUUUUCUGUGUUUUUGACUCUUUUCAGAUCUGAUUUUGGAACGGAGUCCAAACGGAAUAAAAUCCCCAAAAUAAAAUUUUCCAGAACAGAAGAAGAUCGGUGGACUUGAGGGCCAAGGCAGGAGGCCCACAGGGAGCCCACAAGCCCUAACGCCACGGCCAGGGGGGCCCGCGGCGACUAGGCUUGUGGGCUCCUUGGCGCUCCUCUGCCCUAGCUCUUUCGCCUAUAUAUUCCCUAAAAUCCCAGAAAAAAUCAGGGCAUCCACGAAAACACUUUCCGCCGCCACAAGCUUCCGUUUCCGCGAGAUCUCAUCUCGAGACCCUUCCUGGUGCCCUGCCGGAGGGGACUUUGGAGUUGGAGGGCUUCUACAUCAACAUCAUCGCCUCUCCAAUGACUCGUGAGUAGUCCACUUCAGACCUAUGGGUCCGUAGUUAGUAGCUAGAUGGCUUCUUGUCUCUCUUGGAUCUUCAAUACAAAGUUCUCCAUGAUCUUCAUGGAGAUCUAUCCGAUGUAAUCCUCUUUGGCGGUGUGUUUGUCUAGAUCCGAUGAAUUGUGGAUUUGUAAUCAGAUUAUCUACGAAUUAUACUUGAGUCUUUGAUGAUUUCUUAUAUGCAUGAUUUUAUAUCCUUGUAAGUCGCUCCGAGUCUUGGGUUUUGUUUGGACAACUAGAUCUAUGAUUCUUGCAAUGGGAGAAGUGCUUGGUUUUGGGUUCAUACCGUGCGGUGUCCUUUCCCAGUGACAGAAGGGGCAGCAAGGCACGCAUCGUGUUGUUGCCAUCAAGGGUAACAAGAUGCGCUUUCAUCAUAGAUUUGAGAUUGUUCAUCUACAUCGUGUCAUCUUGCUUAAGGCGUUACUGUGUUCUUAUGAAAUCAAUACACUAGAUGCAUGCUGGAUAGCAGUGGACAUGUGGAGUAAUAGUAGUAGAUGCAGAAAGUAUUGGUCUACUUGUUUUGGACGUGAUGCCUAUAGAUAUGAUCAUUGCCAUAGAUAACGUCAUGACUUUGCGCGGUUCUAUCAAUUGCUCGACAGUAAUUCGUUCACCCACUGUCUACUUGCUUUCAUGAGAGAAGCCACUAGUGAACACUACGGGCCCUGGGUCUAUUCACAACUAUCGCUUCCACUUUUACUUUUACUUUGCUUUGUUUACGUUUUGCUUUCAGUUCUUACUUUGAAAAAAAUCUAUAAGGGAUUGACAACCCCUUCAUAGAGUUGGGUGCAAGCUCUUUGUGUUUGUGCAGGUACUUGUAACUUGACGCGAUCCUCCUACUGGAUUGAUACCUUGGUACUCAAACUGAGGGAAAUACUUACUGCCGCUGUGCUACAUCACCCUUUCCUUUUCAAGGGAACACCAACGCAAGGCUCCAAGGCCGCGGGGGAAUCCUUUGCAUAUUUCCCAAGGAAGUCCCUAUAGGCGUAGCACAUAGUAGAAGGAUUCCCGGUGCCGUUUCCAGGGAAUGUCUUUUGUUGCCGUAGCACAAGUCCAAGGUAUGGACUAGGUGAGAACUAUGCCCCCGUUGCUAGACUUGAAGCCAUUCACAUUCUUAUCACUUAUGAAAAUCAACAUGAUAUUACUCUUUGCCAAAUGGAUAUGAAAAGUAUUUUUUUAAAUGGUGAAAUUGAGGAGGAAGUUUUUGGCAAACAACCUCCUGGUUUUGUGAACCCUGAAAAACCUAAUCAUGUUUAAAAACUUUGUAAAUAUUUAUAUGGUCUGAAACAAGCCCCUCGAGCUUGGUACAAAUGCCUAACAAAGAGUCUCAUUGAAAAGGGUUUUGAGAUUGGUCAAAUUGACGUAGCUUUAUUCACUAGAAGAGUAAACGGCAAACUAUUUGUGUGCCAAAUAUAAGUGGAAGAUAUUAACUUUGGAUCUACUAACCCACAUUUUGGUGAGAAAUUUGGAAGGUUGAUGUCACACAAGUAUGAGAUGUCCAUGAUGUGUGAUCUGAAAUUCUUCCUUGGUUUGCAAAUCAAACAAUCGAGAGCAGGUACGUUUAUCUCUCAAACCAAGUACACCAAGGACUUAAUCAAGAAGUUCAACAUGAAAGAGUGUAAAGUUAUGAGAACCCCAAUGCCUACUAUUGGACAUGUUGACCUCACGAAGGAGGACAAACCGAUUGAUCAAAAGGUUCGUUGAUAAAUGAUCGGUUCAUUGCUAUAUCUAUGUGCCUCCCGUCCCAAUGUCAUGUUGAGUGUUUGCAUGUGUGCCUGAUAUCAAGCGACACCUAAGGAUUGUUAUCUAAAGGUUGUGAAAAGAAUUGUGAGAUACUUGAUACAAACACCAAACUUUGGCAUAUGGUAUCCUAAGGGAUCUUCUUUUAGUCUUGUUGGAUAUUCCGACUCGGACUAUGCCAGAGACAAUAUUGAUAGAAAAUCCACCUCGGGUACAUAUCAAUUUCUUGGGAGGUGUCUUGUGCCUUGGUCAUCCAAGAAACAAAACUUGGUAUCUCUAUCCACUAGCGAAGCAUAAUAUAUUGCCUCCAGAUCAUGUUAUGCGCAUUUACUAUGGAUGACGCAAACUCUUAAGGAUUAUGGUAUUCAUGUGAAACAUGUUCCAUUGUUGCGUUAUAGUGGAAGUGCUAUUAAAAUUGUUCAUAAUCCACUAAACAUUCACGAACUAAACAUAUUCAAGCGCGACAUCAUUUCAUUCGUGAUCAUGUUGGUAAAGGAGAUAUUAAUCUCAAGCAUGUUCGUACCAACAAACAAUUGGCUGAUAUCUUUACAAAACCACUUGAUGAGAAAGUGUUUUCCAUUUGAGGAGUGAGUUGACCAUCAUAUAUAGAUGCUUCAAACUCGAGCUAGACUCACUCGGAUGCAUGCAAGGGCAUGAGCUUACCUUAUUAUUUCAUGAUGCUAUUGAUGUGACACUAUCUUAUAUCUUGGAAAACUAUGCUCCCUUGUAUUGCAUCUAACCUUACUUUAGGUACUUGGAAGAAUUACAAUUCACAAGAUUUCCAUCAACUCACAUCAAACGCAAUCUUGUCAUGGCCAAGUAUCAACAACCCCUUCUUCGAAUAUGAAGGAAGAAGAAAACAAAAUCAUAUCCUUGACAACUACUUGAUGAAUGGAUUCACUCUUGUCAUUUGGACAUAUAAUGUUCUUCCUUGCAUGCGUAACCAAUGUAGGUGAAAAGUGAACCAAAACGACAAGGAUCACUCUCGACUCAAGAUGAUCUUCAUCAACAUUGAGCAUCCACAACAAGUUCACCUACAUGCCACAUCAUCAACAUCAUUCAAAGGUAUGUACUCAUAUCCUUGAUAAAACUUUACACCAAGUCAUGAGGUAAAGCAACUCAAGUGAUAUGAAGACAUCAAAAUGCUUAAUCCAAAAAUGGCACCCCCAUUUUGCACUUAACGAUGAGUAUGACCUAUGAUCAAGCAUUCUUCCUUGACUCCUCAAGUCAAUACACUCUAAUAUAGUUGACCUAGUCACCGACAAACAUCUAGAUGGAGAUUCUUGUAUGGUUCUUAUUUUAAAUUGCAUACUUUCUUGGAACCAUUCAAUUCUCAUCUUAAUCAAAAAAAAUAUUUUCUCUUGGUUUAUUUUUUAAAUAUUUGCAUAUUUCCUUUUUCAAAGUUUGUAUAUAUUUCCUAUCUAUGUGAGUUGAGCACCUAAAUCUCAUUGCAACUUGGUCACACCAAUAUGGGGAACUAGGUCUAACCAAUUUCACCUAGGGGCCUUCUACCAUUCUCGGUUCUACUGAACCAUAUUACCUCGGUGAUUCCGAAUUUAUCAUUGCUUAUGUACUCUUGGUUAUUAUGAACUUUUGACAAAGAGGGAGAAUCUAUUCAGUGAUCGCAAAGUUUAUUACAUCCUAAUCUUUUAUAGAUUAUUUCCAUUGAUGCCAAAGGGGUACACCUUGGUUUCCCAUAAUUCUCAAGGGGGAGAAAAACAUCAAAGCGGGAGAAAUAUUCAGUGAUCUGACAAUACAAGAGGGAGAAAAUGUCUAGGAACCCUAACAAAUAGCGGGAGAUAUUUAAAGGAACUUUUAUCCAUACUCAAGGGGAGAUCAUUGUGGGAACCUUUAUCACAGGAAAAUAAUAUAGGAUCCCUUACUCUCAAUGACCCCUUACCCUCUCACAUUUUUUUGGAAAUUAAUACUAAAGGGGGGAGAUAUAUCAAAGCUUCUAAAUGCUUAUACCAAAAGGGGAGAUCUACCAAAGGGGAGAUCUCCAUAGGGGUGAUAUACCAUACCUUACACAUUCAGGGGAGAACUACCAUUGAGGGGGAGAUAUUUAAAGAUUUAGUUGAGUUUUAUUGCCUACUUUGGAUUGAAUUUGUCUCUCCACCUACUCCCAAUAUUUACAUGCUAUGAUUCGGGAGUAGAGGUAAUCUUACAUAUUCAUUCUGAGGGAAGAAAGUUAUAAAUAUCUUUGGAUACAUAUCUAUUAUCGAAUCUUAUUUUUAAUAUGUCUUCAACAUCUUGGUACUUUUGAAGCUCUUUGCAUCUUUACAUUAAAAUACUCUUGCGUUAUCUAACAUUUGUUUUCCCAAGUGUAUUGCUACUGCUAGGAUGCUCAAGAACCUCAAGGUAAAUAUAUGCAUCAUAUCCUUGUUCAGGAUGAUCUCUUAUCUCUUGCACAUAUUGUUUGUAAGAAUAAUGAGUGUUGAUCUUAGUAAUCUUUCAUUCACAUUUUUUUGAUGCAUAUAGCCAAGAUUCACAUGACUCAUCUUGUCCCUUCUACUAUGUGGAUGCUCAUGCAGUCCAAAGCGAACAUCUCUUAAAGGAGAUUUCACAAAUUUAGGGGGAGCUUGUAUUAGUCAUGUACCUUUCAAAGUUGUCAUAUUCCACUUCCUAUCUUUAUUUUAAGCUCUGAUUGUAUGUUGUCAUUAAUUAUCAAAAAAUGGGAGAUUUAAAGAACAUAUGAUCCCUUGGUGGUUUUGAUGAUUCAUGACAAAAUACAUUGUCUCUUGGACUAACAUUAUUACCUAGUAUAUUUCAGGUAUAGUCCACAAAGAGCAUUGGCUAAAGUAUUGUGUGGAGAAGCCCCAACGAAAGGAAUAGGAUUGGUUAAGCCUCAAGCAAGAGGACUCUACAUUUUAUAUUUGUGGGAAAUCACUUUUGAGUCCAUAGGAAAGCCAAUACUAUUAAAAGGACGAUGUAUUUAUGAUGAAUUGGUUUCUCAAUUGCUUAGAGAUAGGCACCAAAAAAAUUCAGUCAUUCUCCCACGAAUAUAUUUGUUCAAAGCCUUCACAUCAAAAUAGGUGCCACCAGGAAUUCUAUUUCGUCCCUACCGGUUUUCCCAGUGAGAGAUCCGUUGCCAAACCCUAAUCUCUCGGUACCACCAACUUUCAUAUCAGUGCCACCAAAAGACAGUGACCAACUUUAUGGUAUCUCUGUUUCAAGAAUCGGUAUUUCUGAGAUUGAACUCGGUACCAACGAGAAUUGGAAACUACCCUAGGUCAUCGAAUUGGUACCAACGACAUUUGUAUAUUGGUCUCACCAAGAACUCAAAAGUUGCCACAUUUAGUGCAAAUCGGUACCAUCGAGAUUCAUUUUGGUGUCACCGAGUUGGGCAAUAAUGUUGUAACGGUUGGAUUUUUGGAGAUGCCUAUAUAUAACCCUCCACCUCCUCUCAUUUGCAGAGGAAGCACUCAUGACACACUUACACUUGCCAUAUCCAUUUUUCUAAGAGAGAACCACCUACUCAUNAAGAUAUUCCAAUCCAACCGUUUGAAACUUGAUAUCUAUUCUCCUCAAGUUGCUUUCCACCAAAUCAAUCUCUCCUUCCCAUGACAAAUCUGUGAGAGAGUGAUUGAGUGUUGAGGAGACUAUCUUUUGAAGCACAAGAGUAAGUAGUUCAUCGUUCUACCGCAUCUACUACCUUUUGGAGGGUGGUGCCUCCUAGAUUGGUUAGGUGUCGCUUGGUAUCCUCCUACUUCGUGUUUUGGAGUUGAACUAAGAAGUUUGUACAUGCAAGGAGAUUGCCUACUUCGUGAAGAUCUACCCUGAGUGAGGCUAGUCAUGUGUGGACGUAAGCCAUGGUGGAAUAGACAAGGCCGGUUCUUUGUGGACCCCUUCUGGGUGGAGCCCUCCGUGGGCUCUCGUAACCGUGACCCUUCGUGGGUUGAAGUCUCCACUAGCAUGGACAUACGAUAGCACCACCCAUCGAAACCACGUCAAAAAUCACCGUGUCUUCUAUGCGUUUGAUCUUCCUAAACACUACGCCUUACUUAUACGUGCAAUGUCUUUACUUUCCGCUACCAUAUAUGUUGACUAGAAUGUGUAGGGUGCACUAGACUUGUUAGAAAUGCUAAAAUUUUCCAACCACUAAAAUUGGGAAAAUUCUAGGAUUUUAAUUUAUGCAAGUAGUCUAUCUACCCCCUCUAGACAUCCCUUCGAGUGAUCCCAUAGAACACGUACAAACAAGGUUGGGGCAAUCUCCACAACUUAAUUGGAGGCUCCCAACAACAACACGAAGCUUCAUCAUAAUGAAUUGUGGGUCCAAGAUUACCUCAAAUGCUCGAGGCAAUCUCCACAACCUAAUUGGAGACCCCGGACGCUUGCUCGGAGCUUUACACCACAAUGAUUGAGCUCUGAGGCACCACCAACCAUCUAGGGCGCCAAAGCACCCAAGAGCCACAAGCUCUAGGGUUCCCAAACACGCAAGAGUAAUAAGCUUCUCGAACUUCACUUCCACGUAUCGCUGUGGAGAACUCAAAUCGAUUCACCAAAUGCAAUGGCAAGAAGAAAUGAACUGGUCAAGUCCCUGAUACGUCUCCAUCGUAUCUACUUUUCCAAACUCUUUUGCCCUUGUUUUGGACUCUAAUUUGCGUGAUUUGAAUGGAACUAACCCGGACUGACGCUGUUUUCAGCAGAAUUGCCAUGGUGUUGUUUUUGUGCAGAAAUGAAAUUUCUCGGAACAUCCCGAAAAUUUACGGAGAAUAUUUCUCGAAAAUAUGAAAAAUACCUACACAAAGAUCCACCGGAGGGGACGGGCCAGUGGGCUACAAGCCCUGACGCCGCGGACUCCCCCCCUGGCCGCGGCAACCAAGCUUGUGGGGCCCACGUGGCUCUGCCGCCCCCAACUCCAGCGCUAUUUAUUCCCUUUCGUCCCAAAAAAAUCAAGAGAGAAGAUUUCAUCGCAUUUGCAACAUGGAGGCGCCGGCACAUCCUGUUCUUCAUCUGGAGGGCACAUCUAGAGUCAGUUUUGGGCUCCGGAUCAAGGAGAUCGUCGCCAUCGUCAUCAUCAACCUUCUUCCCUCUCCAAUUCCAUGAAGCUCUUCAUCGUUCCUGAGUAAUCUAUUUGUAGGCUCGCUGGGCGGUGAUGAGUAGGAUGAGAUCUAUCAUGUAAUUGAGUUAGUUUUAACGGGGAUUGAUCCCUAGUAUCCACUAUGUUCUGAGAUUGAUGUUGCUACUACUUUGCCAUGCUUAAUGCUUGUCACUAGGGCCCGAGUGCCAUGAUUUCAGAUCUGAAAUUAUUAUGUUGUCACCAAUAUAUGUGUGUUUUAGAUCCGAUCUUGCAAGUUGUAGUUACCUACUAUGUGUUAUGAUCCGGCAACCCCGGAGUGACAAUAACCGGAACCACUCCCGGUGAUGACCAUAGUUUGAGGAGUUCAUGUGUUCACCAAGUGCUAAUGCUUUGGUCCGGUUCUUUAUUAAAAGGAGAAACUUAAUAUCCCGUAGUAUCCAUUUGGACCCCGCUGCCACGGGAGGGAUGGACAAUAGAUGUCAUGCAAGUUCUUUUCCCUAAGCACGUAUGACGACACACGGAAUGCCUGCCUACAUCACAUUGACGAACGGGAGCUAGCAACAUAUCUCUCCGUGUUAUAACUGCUACAUGAUGAAUGGCAUCCAACAAAUCACCGAUCCAUUGCCUACGAGUUUGUCCCACUGCUGCUGUUACUUGUUUUGCUCUGCUGCUGUUACUACUGUUGCUGCUACUGUUACUUGCUUUGUCCUGCUGCUGCUGCCACUACUGUUGCUAAUACUGUUACUUGCUACUGUUGUUACUUGCUACUGUUGCUACUUGCUACUGCUGUCACUACUGCUGUUCCUUGCCACUGCUGCUACUCGUUACACUGCUACUACCUGCUACAAUACUUUUUCUAGCACCGUUGCCGGGAAAGAAUAUUUCCCGUCCACGGGCAACUUACUGGCGCCAUUGAAACAACAGUUAGGAAUAAUCUGCCGUCAACAGAUCGUUUCUGGCACCGUUGUUAUCAUACUACUUUCUACUGAUACUUUGCUUGCACACACUAAUCUUUCAGGUGUGGUUGAAUCUGACGCAUUCAGCUGCUAAUACUUGAGAAUAUUCUUUCACUUCCCGUCGUGCGAACCAACAAAUUUGGGUUGAAUACUCUACCCUCGAAAAUUGUCGCGAUCCCACGCGCUGGUGGGCUAUUGCAAGACAAUUUCUAAUUGUUGAGCAACUGGAAGCAGCACUUUUCUGGCUCCGUUGCCAUGGAGGCAUCAAGUCAGGAAUAGUUGCACGUCAACAACAUUUUUCUGGCGCCGUUGCCGGGGAAGGAUUGAUAUAUUCUCUGAGUCACUUGGGAUUUAUAUCUGUUGAUCACUAUGAAGAAUGUGAAAGAUCCAAAAACCAAAGUCAUGCCCUCAACUACGAGGGGAGGUAAGGAACUGCCAUCUAGCUCUGCACUUGAUUCACCUUCAGUUAUGAGUAAGUUUGCGACACCACCUCCUGCUAGAAAACUUGAUAUGUCGCCUGUGCUUGAUGAUGCUUAUGAUGCUACUCCUAGAGAUACUAUGCCUCAUGAUGCUAGAGAUGCUAUGCCUGAUACUGCUAGAGAUGCUAUGCCUGAUAUUGCUAGAGUUGCUAUGCUUGAUACUGCCUUGCCCGAUGAUGCUAGAUAUGCUAUUUUUCCUGAUGAUGCUAUGCUUGAUACUGCUACAGAUACUACUUUGCCUGAUGUGCCACUAGGGGCAUUCCUUGAUGCUCAUAUUGCAAGAGUUACUGCCAAUUCUCGUGAUGCUUCUGAAACUGCCAAUACUAUUGAGAUAGAACCUGCUUUUGCUCCUGCUAGAUCUAGCUCUCCUAGAUAUGAAUUGCCUGAUAUACCAGAGGGUUAUGUUAUGGAGGGAGAGAUAGCUGAGGAUUUUCUUGCGUGUAAGGAUGCCUAUGACGCUGAGAAAUCACUUCUCAAGUGGAAGGAAAAAUCUCUGAAAGCUAGGAUGAAAUACGACCCAAAGUUUGCCACUUCACCUAUCUUUAUCACCGAUGAGGAUUAUGAAUUCUCUGUCGACCCUGAGAUAAUCUCUCUAUAUGAAUCUGAUCCUUUCCACAGUUAUGAGUCUGAGACGGUCGUAGCCCAUCUUACCAAACUACACGAUAUAGCCACCCUUUUCACUAGUGAGGAGAAGAUCCGCUACUACUAUAUCCUUAAGUUAUUUCCUUUCUCUCUAAAGGAUGACGCUAAAGCCUGGUUCACUUCUCUUGCUCGUGGAUGUGUGAGUAGUCCCCAGGAGAUGGUCUAUUACUUCUGUGAGAAAUAUUUCUCUUCCCAUAAGAAGCAAGCUGCCUUGUAGGAAAUAUACAACUUUGCUCAACACAAAGAAGAGAGUCUCCCACAAGCUUGGGGGAGGCUCAUCCAGCUACAGAAUGCUUUGCCUGAUCACCCUCUUAAGAAGAACGAGAUACUUGAUAUCUUCUAUAACGGACUUACCGAUGCUUCUAGAGACCACCUAGAUAGUUGUGCCGGUUGUGUUUUUAGGGAACGAACUAUAGAACAAGCUGAGAUCCUACUGAAUAACAUCUUGAUCGACGAUAAUGCUUGGACUAUUCCCGAACCACCUCCUAAGCCAACUCCGAAGAAAAUAGGUAUUCUAUUCGUCAGUCCUGAAGAUAUGCAAGAAGCCAAGAAAUCUAUGCAAGAGAAAGGCAUUAGAUCUGAAGAUGUCAAAAAUCUACCGCCCAUCGAAGAGAUCCAUGGUCUCGAUAAUCCGAUACAGGUAGUAGAAGUAAAUUCUCUGUGUAGGUUUGAUGAGAGUGAUAUUCCUUUUGACAAACCUGCUAGCCUAUGCUUUGAUGAAUUUGACAACUUUGUUGCCAAACAACAGAGUUUCAAUGAUUAUGUUAGCAGACAAUUGUAACAAAGUACUCGUAUGCUUAGUCAUUUAAGUGCUUGUGUAGACAGAAAUGUCAAUGAUCUGAAGCUUCUGAGUAAACAUGCCUCUAUGAUUACUAAUCAGGUAGAACAAGUACUUAAAGCUUAGAAUGACUUGCUCAAUGAAUUAAAUGACAAAUCUGUCAGAGUCAUUACUAGAGGAGGCAAAAUGACUCAGGAACCUUAGUAUCCUGAAGGCCAUCCUAAGAGAAUUGAUCAAGAUUCUCAAGGAAUUAAUGCUGAUACACCCACUCAUCCUAAGAAGAAGAAGAAGGAUGAUAGAAACCUACAUGUCAAUUCACCAAAUACCGUCACACCUGAAGAACCAAAUGAUAUUUCUGCGUCUGAUGCAGAAACACAAUCUGGUGACGAACAUGAACCUGGUGACAAUAUGGACAGCGAUGUUCAUAAUAAUGCUCAACCUAGCAAUAAUGAGGAUGUAGAGAUUGAACCUACGGUUAAUCCUGAUAACCCACAACCUAAUAGAUACGAUAAGAAUGACUUCACUGCUAGGAAUCAUGGUAAAGAAACGGAGUCAUGGGUUCAGAGACCUAUGCCCUUUCCUCCUAAGCCAUCCAAGAAAAAGGAUGAUGAGGAUUUUGAGUGCUUUAUUGAAAUGAUAAGACCCGUCUUUCUGCAGAUGCGGUAAAUUGAUAUGCUCAAAAUGUCUCCAUAUACCUUGCUCCUAAGAAACAUGGUGAUCCCGGAGUGCCCACUAUACCUUGCUCCAUUAAAGGAAACUACGUAAGAACUGCCUUAUGUGACCUUGGAGGUGGUGUUAGUGUUAUGCCUCUCUCCCUUUAUCGUAGACUUGAACUGGAUAAGUUGACACCCACUGAAAUUUCUCUGCAAAUGGCCGACAAAUCAACUGCUUUCCUUGUCGGCAUUUGCAAGGAUAUGCCUAUUGUGGUUGCUAACACCACUAUCUUAACAAACUUUGUUAUCUUGGAUAUUCCCGAGGACGAUGCCAUGGCUGUCAUCCUUGGAAGACCCUUUUUAAACACUGCAGGGUCUGUUAUAGAUUGCUACAAAGGCAAUGUCACCUUCCAUGUCAAUGGUAAUGAGCAUACAGUGCACUUUUUGAAGAAAUGAUAUCAAGUACAUUGCAUCAAUGCUAUCGAAAAACUUCAUCGAUUCUUAUUGGGAGCUUUGAAUGCCCUAUUCCCCGUGUCAAGAUGAAGUAUGAUUUGCUUGUUGGGGAGAUACAUAUCCCCAUUGAGGUGACCUAGUGACUAUUCAAAAAUUCUCCGUUCUCUUUUGCGAUUCGAGAAAAUUUUGUCAUGAGGAUUUGAUAAACCCCAUUGACGGAUUUCUUUCGAUGACCAUGAAAUGGAUGAAUCAAAGAGUUACAUGCCUCUGUUUUAAGCUUUUACUUUCUGUUGCUUAGAAGAAAAAUGAUAGAUUUAGUUUAGUUUUCCCUAUUUCCUGUUUUAGCGUCCCGGAGAAAAGUACCCCAAAAAUAAAAUUUCUCCGAUGGUCCUGAAAAUCAAAUAUGAUUUUUUCUGGAAUAUUUGAAAAAUACUGGGACUGAGAGCUGGCCUGGGGGCCACACCAGUGGGCACAAGCCCUGUCACUGCGGCCUCCCCCCUGGCCGCGGCAACCAAGCUUGUGGGGCCCACAGGGACCCCCUCCACUCAUUCCAGCUCCCAUCCUCUUCUUCUACCUCCAGAAAAAAUCGUUUCACAGCUCAAACCCGUGUUCUUGCUCAUUUGGCUGUGAUUUUCGAACUCCUUGCUCAAAGCACCAUUCUCCGAACCGUUUUGGGGAAAUUACUCCUUGGUAAGUGACUCCUCCAUUGGUCCAAUCAGUUUCUACUCUAGUGCUUUAUCCUUACCGUAUUCUUGCUACCUUGGUGACCCUGUUCUUGAGCUUGAAAUGUUGGUUUUAGCUGGUCCCAAGCAGUUUUAACGCGUGAUACGGUCUCUAGGCAUUAGUAGGAGUAGUUGCUACAAGGUGUGGUUGGUCUUUAUUCACUUUUCUCUUGAACUUCAAAAAUUUCAGCAAAAAUAAAUUAUGUUCAGGAGGAAGUUUCAUGGUGGUUCCUCAAGUAAGAAGGGUCCCCGUCUUUCUAUUCGGGAGCCCGAUCCUUAUCAACUAAGAUAAGCACCGGUACAACCAUGUGAAUGGCCUUCCGAUGAGUUCAUGAUCGAAGCAGGCUUCAAGGAUGAGUUUGAUACACUUGUCUGCAAUGUCGGGUUAGAAGAAUUCCUCUCAAAUAAAUGUGAACAGUAUGCUUUGCUCACUGCCUCUUUCGUGUGUAGAUUUAAAUUUUUAGUUGGGCGUGACUCAUCCAUACCGUUUGACCUGUAUGAUAAAUCCUACGCCAUGGAUUUGGAGGAUUUCAAUAGGAUUUGCAAGAUACCCGAUGGGGGAAAUCUUAAAGAUCCUGCUAAGUCUUCGGUUAGAGAUUUUGUCUCUAGUAUAACUGUUGGAGAAACUAGAGACAUCACGCAAGCUACCAUAGGAAGCAUUCAUUUCCCUGGCUUGCACUACUUUUCCCUCUUCAUAGGUAAUGCAUUAACGGCAAGGUUGAACAUUGUCACCUAUGCGCAUCCGACCUUAGUAUCCUUAAGAGCGCAGUGACGGGUGACAAAAGCUUCAACAUGGGAGCUAUUAUAGCAAGGAGGAUGAAUAAGAAUGCUAUUGAUGGGGAUUUCUUUGGCGGCAUCUAUGCCACUUGCAUAGCAAAUUUUCUUGGAGUACCCAUCCGCGCAGGAGAUCCCCCGCUCCAUACAGCUUUCCUUGACCACGUCGCUAUGACACGCUACCAGUUCCUUGAGAGGGAUGAUGAAUCCCUCCUAUACCGAUUGAUAUUUAACCGGCAACGUGUUUUCCAUAUUACCCUUCCUGCUCCUGCUUUGUUUGACUUUCAGGUAAAACGGAGAUACUACAUAACCAUAGGAGAGGCAUAGGAGUAUGAGAGGGAGGCGACGGCUGCUCGUCUCUGUGAGGCAACUAUUUAGGCAGUGGCUGCAGCGCUCCCGUAUAACCCCGAUUAUGAUUUUGGGUUUUGCCAGGACCGUCCUUGGGAGUAGACCAAGCGAGGCCAAAAGCCUAAGCUUGGGGGAGUACGUGUUUGCACCAACUUUACAUUCAAGCUUAUGCUUUCACUUUGUUAGUCAGUGUUUACACUUUGCCACUGUAUUAUCCAUGCUAGUUUAUUUUCGUUUUCUUGUUUUGUGUCAUUUUGAGAAAACCCAAAAGUAUUUUUCUUUCUUCUUUUGCUUGCUGGGAGCUUUCUCGUGUAAAUAGUUUUCUUUUUCUUUGUGUCAAGGUAGAAGAUAUUGGUUACAAUGUUUAGUGGUUCUUGCAUGCAUACCUGUUUAGCUUUCAAAGAGCCAUAUUACUUUGUCUUCUCCUUUGUGUUUGCCUGCAGAUUCAGCUUAGUCCAAUGCACGAGAACUCUUAUUAUUGUUCACUUCGUUCGAUCGUGCAAGUGAAAGACAAUAAUGAUGAUAUAUGAUGAAGUGACUGAGACUNUUUUUGUCCUUUGAGAAAACCCAAAAAGAUUUUCCUUUCUUCUUUUGCUUGUUGGGAGCUUUCCGUGUAAAUAGUUUUCUUUUUCUUUGGGUCAAGGUAGAAGAUAUUGGUUACAAUGUUUAGUGGCUCUUGCAUGCAUACCUAUUUAGCUUUCAAAGAGCCAUAUUACUUUAUCUUCCCCUUUGUGUUUGCCUGUAGAUUCAGCUUAGUCCAAUGCAUAAGCACUCUUAUUAUUGUUCACAUCGUUCGAUCGUGCAAGUGAAAGGAAAUAAUGACGAUAUAUGAUGAAGUGACUGAGACUGGAAAAGCUCGUAUGAACUCUAUCUAUUUUGUUUUUGUAAAUAUGGCUAGCUUGUCGUUCCAGAUUCAGCUUUGUUGAGAGAGAACCAUGUUUGCAAAAACAACUUAGAGAUCAUAGUUUUGGAUUCCAUGCUUAAUUAGCUAGGAGCUUAUAAUGGUUUGUCUUGAAUGCCAACAUGGAUUUUGAGAUGACUAUAAUGUAGUAUGAUAGGAUGGUAUUCUCCUUUGAAUGAUUCAAGUGGCUUGACUUGACGCAUGUUCAUGCAUGUAGUUGAAACAGAAUCAACAUAGCCUAUAUGAUGUUCGUGUUCAUGGUGAUUUAUAUCCUAUUCAUGCUUGCACCCAAUGUUAGUCAAACUCAUUGCAUCUUGAUGACUGUUGUCGCUCUCUAGUUGGUCGCUUCCCAGUCUUUUGCUAGCCUUCACUUGUACUAAGAGGAAUACUGCUUGUGAAUCCACUUCCAUAAACCCAAAAGUUUUUUCAUGAGAGUCCACCAUACCUACCUAUUUGCGGUAUCUACCUGCCGUUCCAAGUAAAUUUGCAUGUGCCAUUCUCUAAACCUUCAAGAAAUUUUCUAUUUUGCUUGCCCGAACCGCUCAUGUGGUGACAGGGGGCUAUUGGUAUCUUCCAUGUUAGGCGUGUUAUCCUCGACAUGUGUUUAUUCACUGUCAUUCACGAGAAAGGGGUCGGUAAUUGGAAUCCCAGUUCCACGCUUAAAUCGAAAACAUAACUCUAAAACAAGACUCCCCCCGGAUUGAUGUUAGUAUGGACGGUACCCGAGGAUUGGUUGGUGGUGGGGGAGUUAAAACUUUACUUUUCUGUUUGGGAACCGCCUAUAGCAUUAGUAGCAUGGAAGAUAUUGAGAACUCUUGGUCAUUGCGUUGACAAUGAAAGCAUGCCACCCAAAAUUAUUAUCUCUGUUUUCAAAGCUUGAGCUCUGGCACCUCUGCAAAUCAAUGCUUCCCUCUGCGAAGGGCCUGUCUAUUUAUUUUCCUAUUGAGUCAUCCUCUUCUUAUGUAGAGAGCACCUCUGUCAUUUUUAUGCUUUGCUUGUGAUUGAUAUUGAGUAUGAAUAUGAAUGGAUUUUCGUUGCUAUGAAUUACAAUGUUUAGUCAGCCCUUGAUCUUUGAAAGUGCUCUGCAUUUAUGUUUUGCGGUCUCAGAAAGAGCUAGCGAGAUAUCACCUAUUCAUAUUGCUUCAUGCUUGUUUUGAUUGAAUUGUUGGUAUCCAAAACUCAUUAUUAUUUGCUCGCUAGCUGAUUAUGCCAUUAAUAUUAGUUCACCGUGAGACCUUUGUGUCACUUGCUUAUGUGGUUAACUUGUGAUCUUGCUGAAAUUCUGGUUAUGAGUUAGACAUAGUUGCAACAACAAGAUCAGACAGAGUUUGUCAAAGUUUUUCUUUCUCUCUCAGUUUGUCAACUGAGUUGCUUGAGGACAAGCAAGGUUUUAAGCUUGGGGGAGUUGAUACGUCUCCAUCGUAUCUACUUUCCCAAACUCUUUUGCCCUUGUUUUUGGACUCUAAUUUGCAUGAUUUGAAUGGAACUAACCCGGACUGACGCUGUUUUCAGCAGAAUUGCCAUGGUGUUGUUUUUGUGCAGAAAUGAAAGUUCUCGGAACAUCCUAAAAAUUUACAAAGAAUAUUUCUGGAAAAUUUGAGAAAUACCUGCGCAAAGAUCCACCGGAGGGGACGGGCCAGUGGGCCACAAGCCCUAACGCCGCGGCCUCCCCCCUGGCCGCGGCAACCAAGCUUGUGGGGCCCACGUGGCUCUACCGCCCCCAACUCGAGCGCUAUUAUUCCCUUUCGUCCCGAAAAAAAUCAAGAGAGAAGAUUUCAUCGCGUUUGCAACACAGAGGCGCCGCCACAUCCUGUUCUUCAUCUGGUGGGCAGAUCUGGAGUCCAUUUUGGGCUCCGGAUCAAGGAGAUCGUCGCCAUCGUCAUCAUCAACCUUCUUCCCUCUCCAAUUCCAUCUAGCUCUUCAUCAUUCCUGAGUAAUCUAUUCGUAGGCUCGCUGGGCGGUGAUGAGUAGGAUGAGAUCUAUCAUGUAAUCGACUUAGUUUUGACGGGGAUUGAUCCCUAGUAUCCACUAUGUUCUGAGAUUGAUGUUGCUACUACUUCGCCAUGCUUAAUGCUUGUCACUAGGGCCCGAGUGCCAUGAUUUCAGAUCUGAAAUUAUUAUGUUGUCACCAAUAUAUAUGUGUUCUAGAUCCGAUCUUGCAAGUUGUAGUUAGCUAGUAUUUGUUAUGAUCCGGCAACCCCGGAGUGACAAUAACCGGAACCACUCCCGGUGAUGACCAAAGGUUGAGGAAUACAUGUGUUCACCAAGUGCUAAUGCGUUGGUCCGGUUCUUUAUUAAAAGAAGAACCUUAAUAUCCCGUAGUAUCCAUUUGGACACCGCUGCCACGGGAGGGAUGGACAAUAGAUGUCAUGCAAGUUCUUUUCCCUAAGCACGUAUGACGACACACAUAAUGCAUGCCUACAUCACAUUGACGAACGGGAGCUAGCCACAUAUCUCUCCGUGUUAUAACUGUUGCAUGAUGAAUGUCAUCCAACAAAUCACCGAUCCAUUGCCUACGAGUUUGUCCCACUGCUGUUGUUACUUGUUUUGCUCUGCUGCUGUUACUACUGUUGCUCCUACUAUUACUUGCUGCUAGUGUUACUUGCUUUGUCCUGCUGCUGCUGCCACUACUUUUGCUACUACUGUUACUUGCUACUGUUGUUACUUGCUACUGUUGCUACUUGCCACUGCUUCACUACUGCUGUUCCUUGCCACUGCUGCUACUCGUUACACUGCUACUACCUGCUACAAUAAUUUUUCUAGCACCGUUGCCGGGAAAGAAUAUUUCCCAUCCACGGGCAACUUACUGGCGCCAUUGAAACAACAGUUAGGAAUAGUCUGCCGUCAACAGAUCGUUUCUGGCACCGUUGUUAUCAUACUACUUUGCUACUGAUACUUUGCUUGCACACACUAAUCUUUCAGGUGUGGUUGAAUCUGACACAUUCAGCAUCUUAUACUUGAGAAUAUUCUUUCACUUCCCAUCGUGCGAACCAACAAAUUUGGGUUGACUACUCUACCCUCGAAAACUGCUGCGAUCCCACGCGCUGGUGGGCUAUUGCAAGACAAUUUCUAAUUGUUGAGCAACUGGAAGCAGCUCUUUUCUGGCUCCGUUGCCGUGGAGGCAUCAAGUCAGGAAUAGUUGCACAUCAACAGUCCCUCACACUCAAAUCCCUCCACAACAAUAGAAGCUAUGGAAGGAAAUGAGAGGAAUAAUGAAGGAUCUCACAAAGAACUCCAAGAUCUAGAUCCAAGGGGUUCCCCUCACAAAGAGGAGAAAGUGAUUGGUGGAAAUGUACAUCUAGAUCUCCUCUCUCUUUUCCAUCAAGAACUAGCAAGAAUCAUUCGAAAGAUUGAGAGUUAGCAAGCUUAAAGAAGGACACAAUGGAGGAAGAAAAUGAGCUCAAGAGUGAGGGACCAUUGGGGAAGAAGGACUCCUCAAUUAGACAUCCCAAAAUCCAACAUGCCCACAAGUCGUGCUCAAGCGGUACUACCGCUUGGGGGAAUUGGUACUAUCGCUUAUCACGGUCAAAACAGCCCAACGAGAUAGAAAAACACGAGUGGUAGUUCUGCCAAAGAGGUAGUACCGCUCGGGGGAGAGGUAGUACCUCUUAAGAGGUACUACUGCUCCGUGCCUGGGGUAAAGGUAGUACCACUUGAGAGGUACUACCUUUCUGUACUACCCCUCUACUAUCGUUGAAGAAGAUUGGACACCAGAAUCAGAAAAUAAGCGGAAGUAGAAGUGGUAAUGGUCAGCAGAAGUACCUCUUAAGAGGUACUACCGCUUGAGAGGUACUACCGCUUAAAGCAGUACUUAAGACCAACGAAAACUGAAACCUGCAUAACUGUCGGAUAGAGACUCCAAAAUGAGCAAGCUCAAGCUUGUUGGAUAGAUUACUGAUGGCACUCUCUGGCUAUGGCUAGACGAAUGCUAUUCUCGAUUGCUCAACAAUUAGAAAUUGUCUUGCAAUCACUACAAGGAAUAUGCUAAUACACGACGCUAUUUUUUCGUCGCUACAUCGUCAUGGUUUUUAAUUUACGACGAUCUCACGACGAAAACCAAGCGUCGAAAACGGAGCGUCACAAAUGAACAGCAACGACGUUUUGAUUAAAAUCGUCGUAACUUUUACGACGAUUCCUGGAUUGUCGUAAACUUUACGACGAUCCUAAAUCGUCGUUGGCAAUCAAACUCAGUCCUACGUGGCAGUCCUACGUGGCAAAAUUACGACGAAAUCAAAACAUCAUGGUUGAAAUCAGCCCAACCCAUUUCAAUUGAUCACAUGGGCUGGUUUUAAUUAUUUGGGUUUUUUCUUAUUGGGCUUGUUUUUGGGCCUUAGCCUAUUUGCAGCCACUUCUAGUAUUUUUUCAAUUUUUUUUAUAUCAUCAUAAUUUGGGCCAUGGCCUUUUAGAUCCCAAAUAAAUUUGGUCCAGUUUCAGUUUUGGCCCUUUUUCAUUUUUGAAUUCAGCAACUUUUUGUUCCAUAAUUUGGAUUCAUUUCUAUUUGCUGGGCCUUUUCAACCCAAUUAUUUGUCCAGUAUUAAAUCCAACACUAUUUCAUAUUGAAAUCAAGAAAACUUCAAGUCGAAUUAAAAUCAUCCAUGAUAUAACAUCACAAAAUACAUAUCCCAAGUUUACAUAUCACAAUAAACCAUCUCAUGAAAACAUUUCCUUACACAUGAAUAUAGCAAGAACGAACAAAAUUACACAAUAGAACAAUCGCACAUCUUUUACUGUCCCAACAGUACAGUGGACUUCAUUCCGCUCUCCUAUGAGGCAUGCUCGAGAUGCCACAACUUGUCAAUCUAUAAGAACAUUACACUUCACAUGAAUCAAUCAAAAGGAAACAAAUAUAAAAAAUAUUAGAAAUAAAAAGAUUUAUUUUCAUCCUAAAGAUGAUGUUAAAAAUCCUGAGAUAUAAAUUCUCGAGUAUAAUUAGUCCAACCUAAACAGGUCAGAGAAACUGAAAAUUAAACUUCAAACUAUCUAAGAUUGUUCCAGGAAAUUCUGGACAAAGGAAAUGCAGACAAGCAAACUUAAUAUCUUUAUGGUAUUUUCGCUUUACUAGAGGAAUUUAAGCACCGACACAAGUAGGAGUCAAUGACACAACAAUUAGCAGACAUGUAAGAUAAUACAAAACAAGCUACUCCACGUUACUGUGAUAACCAAGUGCAAACCAGGGUGUAAGAAUAUUAGCCCAAAAAAUCCUUUGGGCAACAUACAUCACUAAAUUACGCUAUCAAUAAGUGCACCAGAGACUCUAAUUUAUUACCUUCAGAAGUUUUAGAUCGAAUCAAAUGAAAACAUGAAAAGGGACUACCAAAGAGCAUUAUUGAUUUAGAUAGAGCUUUGAUGCUGAGUUGAUUUCUCGUGUCAACUGGGGUAAUUCUUUAGCCAGAUUGGAGAAAGGAAACCUGACUAGCACUCAAAAUAUUAACCAGAAGACAAUAGUAAAACAUAAAAGAUGGAUCAGAUUUCCGGCUUUUAAUCCUGAUGGGAUUACAUUUGCGCAUUGUAUACUCAUAGUCGAUAAUUUGGGGACAGUAUCCUCGGGUCCAUAUAACCCAAGGAAAAAAGCAAUUGGUCAUCACAGUAAGUGCAGAAACGUGGUAUGGAUAUGAUAUCAUCACUUCUCACAACAAACAAAAAAUGGUGUAGGAGUUUCUAUUUAUUUAAGACAAGACAACUAUACAGCAUCCAUGACAGAAUGUGUUGCUUACUAGACAUUCAGAAUAAGUAGAGAUACAAAAACAUGACUUCAGAUGCCGAAUAUGCACAGUUUAAUAAUAUACAGUAUCAUGAGACACCUAACAAGUGUUGAUCAUCACUGAUGAAUCAACCACAGAAACCAGCUGCAGAAAGAACAAUAUAGUUGAUAUGUGUAAACGGGGUAUAGUAACAGGAAGCUCCUUCUAUGAGAGCAGCCAGUGUCACAAAAACAUGUUUCCUUCUUGAUGUCUGCCAAUCUAACGAGAAACAAGGCCAUGAAAGCAGACCAAGCAUCAGAUACCUCAUGGCAUCCCAAAUACCACUAUCCAAACAAAAUUUAGUUCAGUGCUAAGAUAUGUAUGGACAAGUUGAAUGCAAAAACCAUCUCAAAGAAUGGUUCGUGCUAGAAUCUUAACCCAAAGUAUCUCUAGGCAACGUACAGCGCUGAAUUACACUACCAAGAAGCGGACCUCAGUACUCAACCUUAAAGCUGAUAAAAAUUUAGCAGAGUAUACCAAAAGAUGAAGGGGAACACUCAGCGUUUCAAAAAAGAAGGCAGCAUCAAAUACUAUAGUAAUUAUUAUUGGACAUGAUAUAGUAAGGUACUUUCACUGGUUAUUGACUGUUUUCAGUUUUCACUAAGCAUAAGUGCAUAAUAUGGAAACAAUAUAAGAGAAACCAUACACCCUCGGAUAUUAAGCUAUUCCAAGUAUGUGAGGUAUACAACUUAUAGGAGCUUACAUGACAUUCGAACCGAUAGUCCCAACGCCCAGAGCAAUGUUCUUCGAGGAAUCUAGGUGUUCUUGUUUAUUCUCUGUAAUAUCUGAUCUCGAUAACCUUUUCUUCUUCCCUCUACUGAUUAAAAAUAGAAGUAAUUAAUCCCAGUCCAAUGUGUUGAGGGAAGAAAAACAUAGCGUGUCAAAAAAGAAGGCAGCAUCAAGUACUAUAGUAAUUACUAUUGGAGAUGAUAUAGUAAGAUACUCUCACUGGUUAUUGACUGUUUUCAGUUUUCACUAGGCAUAAGUGCAUAAUAUAGAAACAAUAUAAGAGAAAACAAAAGUAGUUAGUCCUAAUAAAAUUAUUUCACAUAUUUGUGGCAUGUUCACUCUCAGUUCUUAGGAAGGGAAAAUGCAACCUAGAAUCCUAAAUUCGUUGCAUAUUUUGCCUAUGAUGAAACUAAGAAAAACUAACUUGACAAUACAUGCUAUGGACUGUAGUCUACAGAAUAAAUGACAUACAAGAUUAAAUAAUAUGAUUCUAUUUUGCAGAAGCAGCUGUUUUUUCAUACAUCCCAUGGCAUUUCUGUCGUAAUCACUAGCAACUUCAAAUAGAGUUAAGCAAAAAAUAUCAACAUUCUUUAUUGAUUUCGAUUACAUGCAAAUAAGUAAAAAUGCCCUACUCUACCAAUAAGACAUAAGUAAAGAGCUGACAACACUAGACUGUACAACUACACAAACACAUGAGGUGCUUCUAAGACAAAAAAUAAACCUGAAUUUAGUGUGAGGACUAGCCAAUCCAGAAAGUAAAAAACGCAUUACUGAACAGUCACAGUUUCCAAAACACUAGCCAAUCCAGAAAGUAAAAAACACAUUAGCAAAACUGCAGGACAACAGAAAGGAAGAGUUAAUUUGUGUAGGUGACUGAACAAUACUAUUCAUCUGGACAACAGAAAACUGAUCACCAAAUCCUUUUCAGACAACUAAUUCAUCAAAAGGAACAUGACAUAUCAGGUACUAGUUCACAUAGGACACUGAAUUUGGUAAACUGAAAUAUACCCAACAAAAUACCGAGCACAAACAACAUGUUUUAAUAAUCAUAUUCAGUUAGGGGAAGCAAGUUGGCAGACAUUUCUACAUUAGAAUGUCCACGACUAACAAAACAUUCAUGGUAACACAAAAGGCACAAUCCGGCGAAGUGUUGUAAAUUCCCUUGUAUCCGAGUGGCACAAAUCUGCCUAUUUAUGAAGUAAAUCUAGGCCGGAAUUCCUAGAAUCUCGAACCCCCGAAGUCGCUGAAUAACCAAUUUAUUAGCAGAUCCAAUGGGCUAAACUUGUGAAGUACUAGUAACAUCUAUCUAAACGCUGUCCCAGGUAACAACAGAUCCGGAAAAUCUCUAGUUGGGACGUGUCCCGCUUACUUGAGGUAGUCAUCCUUGAAGAGGUCUUCCCUGUCAUCUUCCUCCUCGUCGCGGAUAACGGUGGCGCUGUCGUCCUCGGGGAGCACAUUAAGGUCGACCUCUGCCUCGCCAUCGUUGUCCGAGUAGGAGGAUGGGUCGGUGGCGCCGUGGCUGGUGGUGGUGUUGGGCGGCAGCCAGUCGGUGUUGAAACCCAGCGAGCCGGGGGUCGACGGCGCGUUCUUCUCCGAGUCGUCCUGGGAAAAUCAAAUCAACCGACGGAAACGUCAGAUCCGGAGGCGGGAAGCAAUUCAACAAGUUAAACCAUCUAUUAAAAAAAUGAAAACCACGCGAAUUUAACAUGUAAAGAUCUAGCUCGAAGAACAAUAAUAUAUAGGUCAUAUGAAUGAUGGUUCAAAUGCAUUCAACACUUCAAAUUACUACUACUACAACUGUCCGCAAAAUUAUAGAAACUUGGCAUAUACCGCAAGCAUUUCUCUUGCACUCAGUCAGGGGAUCGACUUCCAGGUUCCAGCUAGUAGGAGAUUUUCAGUAGAUAAUUUCGAGGCCACUAUCUAAGAAAUUUCAUUAAGUGAUUUCUCUUGUUACUAAACCUACUACACUAUAGCUAGCUCACUAAGAAUUCGUACAAGCAAUCUUGUUACUAAACCUACUACACUAUAUGUCUUGUCAUUCCUGUCCUAGUUUUCAGUGUCAGGAGACUUUUACUAACUUAUGAACAGCAACUGCCACUAUUGACUUCGCCAAAUCAAUAAUUACAAUCACAAGAUCGACCAGGAAACACAGAUUUCAUGCAAAAGACACGGAAUUCAGCAACUAAAAUCCUCCAUGAACAAAGAUAUAGCAGUUGAAACAGUCCAAAUCAUUCAUGCAGUUCCUCACAAGAAAUCAAAUCAUAUGGAGGAUGGAUGGAGAGGCCUCCAUGCAUGCAUGUACGCUUCUUCUUCUUGGUCGCAGCGGGCGGGGAGGAGGUUCCCGCAAUCACGAGCUGUAGAUCGCCCUCGUAUUCACCAAUCUCCGGCGGGCUUCCGGCUAGUUACGGUGGCUUCCCGUGGUAUGGCAGCCAGAACUCCUCUCCCACAACCUCUGUUGUGCUGCUCACGGAAGGGAAGGGGUUUGGUUGGUGGUGGUGUUGGGCGGCAGCCAGUCGGUGCUGAAACCCGGCGAGCCGGGGGUCGACGGCGCAUUGUUCUCCGAGUCGUCCUAGGAAAAGCAAAUCAACCGAUGGAAACGUCAGAUCCGAAGGCGAUUGCUGAGCGUGGCGGCGGCGGCGAGAGGAGGGAGAUGGGGGAGAUGGUCGCUUACCAUCCGCGGGCCCCGAGAAGGCUCUUGUGGAGGGGGCGUGUGGUGGCGAGAUGAGGCUAGGGUUUCAGCAGGAAGGGGGGAAUGGUGGGGAGAGACGGUGUUUCGGUGGGAAGGGGGGAAUGGCUAGGGUUUCCGACGGCGGCGCGGUUCGGUGGCUGGGGCGAGAGGGGAGACGGCGGUGCGGAGUGGGGCAGGGCAACGGGCGACGGAGAUGGGGGAGAAGGGGCGCCGUGGGAGAGAGAGCGAGGGGGCGAUGGGGACACGGGACGAGGGGGCUUUCCCCUCGUCGAUGGGGUGGCGGCGUGGGGUGGAGUGGGAGUGAGGUUGUGGGUCCAUUUAGGGUUAGAUGGAGGUUAGGUGGGCUGGCUUGGGUCGGGCGAUUUGGGCCAAGGGGGUUUUCUUUCCGCCUUUUUAUUAUUUGUUUCUGUUUUUAUUUCAUUUUUUAACAGCUUUAGUUUUAUUUUAUUUUAGUGCAAUGAAAUCUCUUAAAAUUAAUAAUUCUUAAAGGAAAAUUCUCCUAGGUAAUAUCGGACACAUCCGAACAUUUUUAUUUUGACAUUCAAAAACUUUUAUUGCUUUAUUUUAUUUUUAAAUUCAUUUUCAAACUGUUUGAACUAAUGCAAGAUCAACAAUAGAAAUCACGGUGACGUGGCAACAUUAGUGUGGAAUCACUGUAGCUUAAUUACAUAGGUUACUGUAGCAACAAUUGAGGAUAUCACGUCGACCUCCACCGAGCCCUCCAUCGACUGUGGACGGCUCAGAUUGGAUAUAGUGGGGUAAUCCAUGAGAAUAGUUAUCAUUGGUUGGAAACAUCUACAAUUUAAAAUACUAGUUUCUAAGUGGUAAAAAUAUUGAGGGAAACUGGCGGAACUAAAUGAGCUAAAAUUUGGUGGAGUGAGGUUAUAUGGUCAGUUUCAUCCCGUGGUAAAAUUUCAUCAACUAUAAAUCAAUAUAAAAUGUACUUGCUUCACAAAAUUAAAAUAUUAGCACAAACAAAGAUUGAAUGAUGAGCUCACAUGGAUUGCUAGAUGGGGCUAAAAUUUUGUUGAGAACUAUGUUUUCGGCACAUAGAAGAUGUGGAAAAAAUUCAACUCAUCAGGAUAUUCCUAUCUAGUACUUCCUUCACAAAGCUAUUAGCUGAACACAAAUUUUGGAAAAUUUGUGAGAAAGAUUUACUAGGCAAAUCGUUACGAAAGUUUUCAUGAGGCAAUGAUUUGGAUAGGAAAGAGUGCGCAAAAAAUAUAAGGGUAAUCAAAGAAAUAGAAAUAGCACUUCCUUCACAAAAUGCUAUUUUGAACAGAGUAGGAAAAUGAAUAUUGCAGAAUUAUUUUUAAACUAUGGAAGGAAGGAUUUUUCACAUAUUUAAGGAAUAUAUGAUCCAAAGUAUUUAUGAGAAUUUUUUGAGAAUUUUUGGAAUGAUAGAAUAGUAGGUUGCUUCACAAACUAGGAUGAGGUGGGAUAGAAUGGACCCACGAGUGACAUGAUAGAAUAGUAGGAUGAGGUGACAUAGUUAGAACAUGUUACGACAUUUUUAUAAUCGUCGUAAAAGUUAUGACGAUCUCAUCUUAUGCGGUUACGACGUUUUUGACUCACAUCGUCAUAAUUUAUAUGUAGAUUUGAUCCCCUCAAACGGUUUACGAUGAUCUCGGAUGAAAUCGUCAUAGAAUUAUGACGAAUUCAUCAACGACAUCUAAAAAAACGUCAUGUAUGAGUAUAUUUCUUGUGGUGAAUGACCCACCAGCGCGUGGGAUCGAGGCGGUUUUCGAGGGUAGAGUAUUCAACCCAAAUUUGGUGAUUCGCCAAUAGGAAGUGAGAGGAUACUCUCAAGUAUUAGCAGCUGAAUGUGUCAGAUUCAACCACACCUGAAAGAUUAAUAUCUACAAGCAAAGUAACAACAACAAAGUAGUAUGAUAGCAACGGUGUCAGAAACAAUCUGUUGACGGCAGACUAUUCCUAACUGUCGUAUCAAUGGCGCCAGAAGUUGCCCGUUGACGGAAAUUGACUUUUCCCGUCAACGUCGAGCGAAUCAGAAUUGUAGCAGGUAGCAGCAGUGUAAUGAGUAGAAGAAGUGGCAAGGAACAGAAGUAGUGACAGCAGUAGCAAGUAGCAACAGUAGCAAGUAACAAUAGUAGCAAGUAGCAAAAGUAGCAAGUAACAGCAGAGCAAGUAACAGCAGCAGAGCAAAACAAGUAACAGCAGCAGUGGGACAAACUCAUAGGCAAUGGGUCGGUGAUUUGUUUGGAUGAUAUUCAUCAUGCAAGAGUUAUAACAUGGAGAGAUAUGUGGCUAACUCCUGUUCGUCAAUGUGAUGUAGGCAUGCAUUCCGUGUGUCGUCAUACGUGCUUAGGGAAAAGAACUUGCAUGACAUGUAUUGUCCAUCCCUCCCGUGGCAGCGGGGUCCAAAAGGAAACUACGGGAUAUUAAGGUUCUCCUUUUAAUAAAGAACCGGACCAACGCAUUAGCACUUGGUGAACACAUGAACUCCUCAAACUAUGGUCAUCAUCGGGAGUGGUUCCGGUUAUUGUCACUCCGGGGUUGUCGGGUCAUAACACAUAGUAGGUAACUACAACUUGCAAGAUCGGAUCUAAAACACACAUAUAUUGGUGACAACAUAAUAAUUUCAGAUCUGAAAUCAUGGCACUCGGGCCCUAGUGACAAGCAUUAAGCAUGGCAAACUAGUAGCAACAUCAAUCUCAGAACAUAGUGGAUACUAGGGAUCAAUCCCCGUCAAAACUAACUCGAUUACAUGAUAGAUCUCAUCCUACUCAUCACCGCCCAGCGAGCCUACAAAUAGAUUACUCACGAACGAUGAAGAGCUUCAUGGAAUUGGAGAGGGAAGAAGGUUGAUGAUGACGAUGGCGACGAUUUCCCCUCUCUGGAUCCCAAAACGGACUCCAGAUCUGCCCUCCAGAUGAAGAACAGGAUGUGGCGGCGCCUCCGUAUCGCAAACGCGACGAAAUCUUCUCUCUUGAUUUUUUCUGGGACGAAAGUGAAUUUAUAGAGCUAAGUUUGGGGGCGGCAGAGCCACGUGGGCCCCACAAGCUUGCUAGCCGCCACCUGGGGGUGGCGGCUACGGGGCUUGUGGCCCACUGGCCCAUCCCCUCCGGUGGAUAUUUGCGUAGGUAUUCCUCAUAUUUUCCAGAAAUAUUCACCGUAAAUUUUCAGGACGUUCUGAGGACUUUCAUUUCUGCACAAAAACAACACCAAGGCAAUUCUGCUGAAAACAGGGUUAGUCCAGGUUAGUUCCAUUCAAAUCAUGCAAAUUAGAGUCUAAAACAAGGGCAAAAGAGUUUGGCAAAGUAGAUACGAUGGAGACGUAUCAACUCCCCCAAGCUUAAACCUUGCUUGUCCUCAAGCAACUCAGUUGGCAAACUGAGAGAGAAAGAAAAACUUUGACAAACUCUAUUUGAUCUUGUUGUUGCAACUAUGUCUAACUCAUAACCAGAAUUUCAGCAAGAUCACAAGUUAACCACAUAAGCAAGUGACUAAAAGGUAUCACGGUAAACUAAUAUCAAUGGCAUAAUCAGCUAACGAGCAAAUAAUAAUGAGUUUCAAAUACCAACACUUCAAUCAAAACAAGCAUGAAGCAAUAUGAAUAGGUGGUAUCUCGCUAGCUCUUUCUAAGACCGCAAAACAUAAAUGCACAACACUUUCACAGAUCAAGGGCUGACUAAACAUUGUAAUUCAUAGCAACGAAGAUCCAGUCAUAGUCAUAGUCAAUAUCAAUCAAAAGCAAAGCAUAAAAAUGACAAAGGUGCUCUCUAAUUGGUGCUUAUACAAGAGGAGGAUGACUCAACAGGAAAAUAAAUAGACAGGCCCUUCACAGAGGGAAGCAUUGAUUUGCAGAGGUGCCAGAGCUCAAGCUUUGAAAAUAGAGAUAGUAAUUUUGGGUGGCAUGCUUUCAUUGUCAACACAAUGACCAAGAGUUCCCAAUAUCUUCCAUGCUACUAAUGCUAUAGGCGGUUCCCAAACAGAAAAGUAUAGUUUUAACUCCCCCACCACCAAUCAAUUACACUCCACGGCUAGCCAAAUCCUCGGGUACCGUCCAUACUAACAUCAAUCCGGGGGGGGGAGUCUUGUUUUACAGUUAUGUUUUCGAUUUAAGCAUGGAACUGGGCAUUCCAAUUACCUGCCCCUUUCUCAUGAAUGACAAUGAAUAAACACAUGUCGAGGAUAACACUCCUAGCAUGGAAGAUACCAAUAGCCCCCUGUCACCACAUGAGCGGUUCGGGCAUGCAAAACAGAUUAUUUCUGGAAGGUUUAGAGAGUGGCACAUGCAAAUUUACUUGGAAUGGCAGGUAGAUACCGCAAAUAGGUAGGUAUGGUGGACUCUCAUGGAAAAACUUUUGGGUUUAUGGAUGUGGAUGCACAAGCAGUAUUCCACUUAGUACAAGUGAAGGCUAGCAAAAGACUGGGAAGCGACCAACUAGAGAGCGACAACAGUCAUCAACAUGCAAUGAGUUUGACUAACAUUGAAUGCAAGCAUGAACACGAUAUAAAUCACCAUGAACACGAACGUCAUAGAGGCUAUGUUGAUUUUGUUUCAACUACAUGCAUGAACAUGCGCCAAGUCAAGCCACUUGAAUCAUUCAAAGGAGAAUACCAUCCUAUCAUACUACAUCAUAGUCAUCUCAAAAUCUAUGUUGGCAUUCAAGACAAACCAUUAUAAGCUCCUAGCUAAUUAAGCAUGGCAUCAGAAACUAUGAUCUCUAAGUUGUCAUUGCAAACAUGGUUCUCUCACAACAAAGCUAAAUCAGGCAUGACAAGCUAGUCAUAUUUACAAAAACAAAAUAGAUAGAGUUCAUACCAGCUUUUCCAGUCUCAGUCACUUCAUCAUAUAUCAUCAUUAUUGUCUUUCACUUGCACGAUCGAACGAAGUGAACAAUAAUAAGAGUUCUCGUGCAUUGGACUAAGCUGAAUCUGCAGGCAAACACAAAGGAGAAGACAAAGUAAUAUGGCUCUUUGAAAGCUAAACAGGUAUGCAUGCAAGAACCACUAAACAUUGUAACCAAUAUCUUCUACCUUGACACAAAGAAAAAGAAAACUAUUUACACGAGAAAGCUCCCAGCAAGCAAAAGAAGAAAGAAAAAUACUUUUGGGUUUUCUCAAAAUGACACAAAACAAGAAAACGAAAAUAAACUAGCAUGGAUAAUACAGUGGCAAAGUGUGAACACCGGCUAACAAAGGGAAAGCAUAAGCAUGAACGUAAGGUCGGUGAGAACACGCACUCCCCCAAGCUUAGGCUUUUGGCCUAGCUUGGUCUACUCCCAUGGAUGGUCCUGGCGAAACCCAAAAUCAUAAUGGGUGUUAUACGGGAGUGCUGCAGCCACUGCCUGAAUAGGUGCAUCACGAAGUCGAGCAGCCGUCGCCUCCCUCUCAUACUCCUCUGCCUCUCCUAUUGUUAUGUAGUAUAUUUGUUUUACCUGAAAGUCAAAGAAAGCAGGAGCAGGAAGGGUAAUAUGGAGAACACGCUACCGGUUAAAUAUCAAGCAGUAUAGGAGGGAUCCAUGAUCCAUCUCAAGAAACUGGUAGCGUGUUAGAGCGACACGAUCAAGGUAGGCUGUACGGAGAGGAGGGUCUUCUAAACGGAUGGACACUCCAAGAAAAUUUGCUAAGCGUGUAGCAUAAAUUCCACCAAAGAAAUCCCCCUCAAUGGCAUUAUUAUUCAGCCUCCUUGCUAUUAUAGCUCCCAUAUUGAAGCUCCUCUCACCUUUUACUGCACUCUUAAGGAUACUAAGAUCGGAAGNUAAUAUGGAGAACACGCUACCGGUUAAAUAUCAAGCAGUAUAGGAGGGAUCCAUGAUCCAUCUCAAGAAACUGGUAGCGUGUUAGAGCGACACGAUCAAGGUAGGCUGUACGGAGAGGAGGGUCUUCUAAACGGAUGGACACUCCAAGAAAAUUUGCUAAGCGUGUAGCAUAAAUUCCACCAAAGAAAUCCCCCUCAAUGGCAUUAUUAUUCAGCCUCCUUGCUAUUAUAGCUCCCAUAUUGAAGCUCCUCUCACCUUUUACUGCACUCUUAAGGAUACUAAGAUCGGAAGCGCAUAGGUGACAAUGUGCACCCUUGCCGUUAAUGCACCUACCUAUGAAGAAGGCAAAGUAGUGCAAGGCAGGGAAAUGGAUGCUUCCUAUGGUGGCUUGCGUGAUAUCUCUGGUUUCUCCAACAGUUAUACUGGAGACAAAGUAUCUCACCGAAGACUUAGAAGGAUGAUUAAUACUACCCCCAUUGGGUAUCUUGCAAAUCCUAUUGAAAUCCUCCAAAUCCAUGGCGUAGGAUUUAUCAUACAGAUCAAACAGUAUGGAUGAGUCAUGGCCAACUGAAAAUUUAAAUCUACGCACAAAAGAGGCAGUGAGCAUAGCAUACUAUUCACAUUUAUCUGAGAGGAAUUCUUCUAACCCGGCAUUGCGGACAAGUGUAUCAAAAUCAUACUUGAAACCUGCUUCGAUCAUGAACUCAUCGGAAGGCCAUUCACAUGGUUGUACGGGUGUGUCCCUUAGUUGAUAUGGUUCGGGCUCCCGAAAAGAAAGACGGGGACCCUUCUUACUUGAGGAACCACCAUGAAAAUUCCUCCUGAACAUAAUUUCCUUUUGCUGAAAUUUUUGAAGUUCAAGAGAAAAGUGAAUGAAGACCAACCACACCUUGUAGCAACUACUCCUACUAGUGCCUAGAGACCGUAUCACGCGCUAAAACUACUUGGGACCAGUGAUACGUCUCAAACGUAUCUAUAAUUUUUGAUGGUUUCACGCUGUUAUCUUGUCUUCUUUGGUUGUUUUAUGUACCUUUUAUAUCUUUUUUGGGACUAACUUAUUAAUUCAGUGCCAAGUGCCAGUUCCUAUUUUUUCCGUGUUUUUCACUCUUUUCAGAUCUGAUUUUGGAACGGAGUCCAAACGGAAGAAAAACCCCAAAAUGAUUUUUUCCCGAAAGGAAGAAGAUCAGGGGGGCCUUUGGGCCAAGCCAGGUGGGCUCUAGGGAGCCCAGAAGCACCCACUCUGCCACCAGGGGAGGCGGCGGUGGGCAGGCUUGUGGCCUCCCUGGCCGCCCCCUGACCUAGAUCUUUGGCCUAUAAAUUCCCAAAUAUUCCGCAAAAAAUUAGGGCAGCCUCGAAAAUACUUUUCCGCUGCCGCAAGCUUCCGUUUCCGCGAGAUCUCAUCUGAAGGCCCUUCCUAGCACCCUGCCGGAGGGGACUUUGGAGUUGGAGGGCUUCUUCAUCAUCAUCAUCGCCCCUCCAAUGACUCGUGAGUAGUUCACUUCACACCUACGGGUCCGUAGUUAGUAGCUAGAUGGCUUCUUCUCUCUCUUGGAUCUUCAAUACGAAGUUCUCCAUGAUCUUCAUGGAGAUCUAUCCGAUGUAAUCUUCUUUGGCGGUGUGUUUGUCGAGAUCCGAUGUAUUGUGGAUUUGUGAUUAGAUUAUCUAUGAUAUAUAUUUGAGUCUUUGUUGAUUUCUUAUAUGCAUGAUUUGAUAUCCUUGUAUGUCUCUCCGAGUCUUGGGUUUGUUUGGACAACUAGAUCUAUGAUUCUUGCAAUGGGAGAAGUGCUUGGUUUUGGGUUCUGCCAUGUGGUGACCUUUCCUAGUGACAGUAGGGGCAGCAAUUGCUCGACUUUGCGCGGUUCUAUCAAUUGCUCGACAGUAAUUUGUUCACCCACCGUCUAGUUGCUUUCAUGAGAGAAGCCACUAGUAAACACUACGGCCCCCGGGUCUAUUCACAUCCAUCGUUUACAUCUCCGCUUUUACUUUGCUUUGUUACUUUGUUGCUUUCAUUUCUCACUUGCCAAACAAUCUAUAAGGGAUUGACAACCCCUUCAUACCAUUGGGAGCAAGUUUUUGUGUUUGUGCAGGAUCUUGAGAUACUCCUCCACUGGAUUGAUACCUUGGUUCUCAAACUGAGGGAAAUACUUACCACCGCUACGCUACAUCACACAUUCCGCUUCGAGGGAACACCAACGCAAGGCUCCAAGUCCACGGGGGAAAUCCUUUGCAUACUUGACCAGGAAGUCCCUUAAGGCGUAGCUGCGGCAGAAAGAUCAAGCCAAGUAUUCUCCCGUCGACGUGCCUAUUUCUGGCGCCGUUGGAAGGUCUUUUGUUGCAGUAGCAGAAGUAUUUCUGGCGCCGUUGCGGGGGAGAAGAAAUCAAGAUCUAUCCAAGUAGGUCUCACAAACUCUUCUCUUGCAUUUACUUUUGUUGCCAGGUGCCUCUCGCUUUCCUCUCCCCCACUUCAAAUUUGUCGUUUUCAUUCGCCUUUCGUCUUCGCCGUUUUCUUUUGCCUUUGUCGGUUCUCUUGCUCGCUUGUGUGCCAUGUGCCUUCAAUAUGCUUGCAUCUUUGUUUGUUAAUAUCUUUAAGAGACCCACUUAUGUGGAACAAAUUGCUAGUGAGUAAAGGGAAAUUGACUAUUUCUAUGGAGUUUUUCUUAAGAUGCGUGAAUCUGAAAAUUGUGAGGAAGAAAUUCAUGAAGUGAUUCACGAGGGCUCCUUGGAUGAAAAGCAUGACUGCAAUGGUUUCAAUAUAAAUUCUAUUAGUGACAAUCAUGCUAAGAACAUGCAAAACCCUAAGCUUGGGGAUGCUAGUUUUGCUAUGACCACUACUUAUUGCAAUAAUCAUGAUUGGGGUGAUGAUCUUUCUUAUUAUCUUGAAAAUUUAUUCAAACCUCAUGAUGAAUGUGAUAUUUGCAGCAAUACUAAAAAUGGGAUUGGAGAAGUCAUGACUUUAUUUCAUGAUAUUCCCACUAUUUUUGAAGAGCGUCAACUUUGCAUGCAUGUGGAUCAUGAAAAGAAUAUCCUAUGGGGUAGCUAUAUUGUUGAAUUUGAAUAUGAUCCCACAUGUAAUUGCCAUGAGAGAGGAAAAUAUUUUGGUAGAAACUUUCAUUUUACCAAAUUACCUCUCGUUAUGUUGAGAUUGCUAUUGUCUCUUUCUUCUUCCUUGCAUAUGGCAACUAUUGGUUGUUAUCGUGGGUAUAAGUCUGACAGUAGAAGUACGGGGUACGAAAGUAUAUGGGCAGAGCCUUAGCUAUGGCUAGGAUGUAUGAGUUCAGGCCCCUCUACGGUGGAGGAAAAAGCCCUACGUCUCAGUGCUCUUGGGAGCUUUGUGUCGAGUGUAUUAAGGGAUUACUGCAAGUGCCAACCCCUGUACCAGUGGUGAAGGGCGGCUUAUAUAGAGUGCCCUCCCCUUCAUAAUGGUCCGGUGGACAUGGGUGGAGUAGGAGCGAGUAAAGGCUGGCGUUACUGGUAACGUAAGCCUUAAAUGCUAGUUAUGGUGUAUGAAAACGUAUGACCAUUGCCCUCCUGGGAGGUUACGACGUACAGAGUGGAUUCCAGUCGGUACGUUAGAUAUGCUCCGAGUGGAUCGUCGCCGACUGGAUGAUGGGGGCGUCCUUAGUUCAGUAGGAACUGUCUAAGGGCCCUGUCCUCUAUGAAGGGUAGUCCUUGGGUAGGACCUAUAGGGCAGACCUAUGACCCCAUCAUUAGUCCCCGAAUGGGUCGGGGUUGGAACGAUGAAGUGAUGUCCGGAGUUUGGAGCCGACUGGUAUUUAGGUGAUCUUAGCGUUGUCUGCCUCGAUCCAUUUUCUCUUUGUGGCUAGUGAUCCGAGUGAAUAUGCAAGCGAAAUGAACCGUGAGGGACCGAUUGCUUCCCCGGAAUCUUUCGACGUGACCGGUCAUACUGACAGCGCCGGAUUUUCCGAGAUUCUCAAAUUUCGGUUGUCGCACGCCCAGCGGGGAUGACGACAUCGCCAUUGAGUAGAUUUCGCCUCCUCGAUUACCGCGCCGUGAUCUUCUCCACUAAUCUUGCAGUAGCUGUUUGGGAGGAUAAGAUCUUGGGCCCACAUGUAGGUGACUCAGUCGGAGGCCUAUUAAAGCCUUCCCGGCGGACCUUCUUGUUGCGCUGCUCAUCUUCCUCCCAUCGAUCUCGCCUCCCCGCAACUCCCUGCACACCUUUAGCCACCUCCUCCCCCUCCUCCUGUGCGGAUCCGUCGCCCUCGCCAUGACGAAGGGGCAGACCAGCAAGCUUGAGGCGAAGAAGAGGAAGAAGGGGGCGGCCUCCACUCAGCGGCGGCAGCGGGCGUUGCCGGCGGGCUGGAUCCAGGGGGACUUCCUCCCCUCCACGGUGAGGGAGACCGACGUGCUGGAGCUGGUGGAGCACGGCAUGGUCGUCAAUAAGUCUUGGAGGCUGCCGGAAGGCGAAAUGGAGCCGGCACCGAAGGAGGGGGAGCGCGUUCUGCUGCUCAGCCACGUGGUCAGAGGUUUCUCCCUGCCUCCCCAUCCUUUGUUCCGAGGAAUUAUGAAUUACUUUGGGGCGCAGCUCCAUCACUUUCCGCCGAAUGCGAUAGCUCAUCUUUCCGCAUUCAUCACCCUGUGCGAGUGCUUCAUAGGGUGUCCUCCCCACUGCGGGCUCUUAAAAUAUGUUUUCUCCGCUAGAUCUCAAAUGGUUAAGAAGCUUAGCCAGUCCGAUGAUAAGACACACAUCCUCCAGCUCUGCGGGGGUUUAGGAUUUUAGAAGAAAACGAAAAGUAGUUAUCCCUCCCUUUAGCUAUCUGAGUCGGUUAGGAACUGGCAAUCGUCCUGGUUCUAUUGCCAGGACAUUGCCUGCCCGAAUGCUUCGAGUGGAUUACCACCCUUCAGUUUAGACCGUCCGGGCCCUCCCAGAAAGCUAGCGCUCUCUAAGUGAGAAAAACCCAGAUCCAGCCUUUGAUCGACACGCUGAUAGCCGUCGUCCGGAAGGGAGUCACCGACAUGGACCUGUUGGAGACUUUUCUGGGUCGAUGCAUCCAGCCGCUCCAGGCCCGAGACCACGCAAUGUGGCAUUACACGGGGCCUUCGGAUACCACUCGGUCCCAUCCUUAAGAUGUGAGCGAGGAGACCAUGGGUGCGUGGGUCCACAGCAUCACGGGCACAUGUGAUAACCCCGUGGGAGCUCGGCGGGUGAAGGGCUUCCACGCCCAAAAUCCUCCUCCGAAUGAGGUGAGUACAUGUUGUCGAGUGCUUUUAACCUUCUCAGUUUUAUUGCUUUUCUUGUCUCGCUGACUGAUGUUGCCGACUAUGUUUUGUGCAGGAGUGGACGAACUAGCAUUCUGCAGUCUCAAAUGGGAAUCCGGUCAAGGAAGAAGAAGGAAGCAUGGAGGGUAGCGCGGGUAGUGCCGAGUAUGUCUCUGACAGUAGGGAGACGGAGGAGGAAACAAAAGAGGAGGAGGAGGAGAGUGAAGAGCAGAGCUCGUCACCCUCACCACCAGAACACCGAACGAAGCACUGUCAUGACCCCGUUGUUCCGCCGGCUCCUCCCGUGGCCCCGAGUGCUCGGAGUGUGAACAGAACACGGGGUUCUUCUGUCGAGCCCGUGGAUCAGCCGUCCAAGGUGGCUAAACCCAGCGGGUCUAAACAUCGGAAAGCUUUGCCCCGGAUGAGGAUCGUUGUUCCGGUGGCCUCAGCGUAAGUAUCUUUGCUCUUCCAUCUUCCUUCAGUAUCCGAUUGAACUCUUCUUUUUGGGAAUUCAUGUUUACCCGUCGAAUGGAUUUCACUCAACAGAGCUGCUACCUCCUCCACCUCUCUGCUGCGUCAGGGUGACGAUCCCAUGGACACUGAUAACGCCGCCACGUCCCAGCAAGGUACGUUGUCACGAAUCCAAGAGCUGUAUUACCGUUUCGCGAGUGCUGUCUUUGAUCUUGAUCUUUUUCUGUAUUUUUAUUUUGUUCAGUCGGGCUUCCUUCGGAGGUGAUUCAUCUGGACGACGACGACCAAAGGAGGUCGGAACCAGCUUUGGCACCUGUCCUUGGGGUUAUCCAACCUACUGCCAACCCCGCCAUGAGCGUGCCGCCGACUGAGACGGUGUUCUUCACGGCGGAACCGACUGGAGCAGAGCUCGGGAUACCUAGGGCGCCUUCUGCCACGCCGGGUCCGUCGACUGUUCAAUAUGAUGCCCGGCGCCUCCCGGAAGAUCAAGUAGGAGCCGCCAAGGAUGCCAUGGUACAAGUGGAGCUGAUGGUGGGCGAAGCCAAGGGAGCAUAUGACUCCGUUGCGUCCCUGUACAAGAAGAGCUUGGAGCUUCGGGAUGAUAUCCGAGUAAGUGCGCUAGUAAGUGUUUUGGCAAGAUACUCGGAUACAGUAGGUUAAUUUUCCAGUGGGUUCACUCCGAGUGAACCCAGUGGGUGUAGUCCCCGAGACUUCUGCCGAGUGCUUGCACCGCAGUUGUCUUUAUAUGUAUUUUCCAUAAUCUCUACAGAUCAGAGCUGAUCUGCCCGAAUGGUACCAGUGGGGGCACGCCGAGUGCAACCACUGGGUGUAGUCCCCGAGAGUAGUGUUACUCGGGUCGAGUAAUAGUAAUCUCGUAGUGUUGUUGGUUUGCUAUGGAGCUCAAUGGGACCGACCGGUUCGAGCUUCAUACCAGUGGGUUCACUCUCAGUGAACCCACUGGGUGUAGUCCCCGAGACCACUGUCGAUUGCUUGCAUCGGCAGGGGUCUGAAGAAUCUUGAGCUUUGAUUGUUUUGUCAUAUCUGUCGAGACUUUUCCUUCUUGAAUCUGGCUGAUCCUCCCUUUGUGUCUCUUUGACAGAAGACUUGUGAAAUGGGAUCGGCUUAUAAUGCUCUGAAGGCUGAGAAGACUCAACUUGCUGCCGACUUGGAGGUAGCUGCGAAUGAUCUGGCUGGCAUGAAGAAGGCACUCGCUGAACGAGAAAUAUCUUUGGAGGAAUCUCGGGGGACUAACAAGGCACUACUAGCUGAGUUAGAAAAAAUGAAGAAGGAGAGAUCUGAAUGGGUGGGCCAGCUGAAGUCAAUGAACGCUCGGUGCAAAGCGCAGGAGAACUACGUCGGCGACUGGGCGAAGAAGAUGGUCGCACUGCUUGGUGGUAAGUAGCUUGCCGAGUGCUCUUUGACUUUGGAGUUCACUCCGCGCUUCUUUUCUCCCUGUCUUUUCUUUGCAGAUUUCUGUCACGACGUUGAAGCUGAAACCGCCGAAAUUGAACGGUCGCUUGGGCAACCGAAUGUUCCACUCGGUGAUGAAGCUAACCGGGACAUGUUCCGUCUGAAUUCCCGCCUUAACAAGGUGGGUCCUUUCAUUGGUCGCCUGAGAGAAGUUGUGGGCCGAAUUCACAAAGAGCUGUGGCCUGAAGAUGACUCCCGGAAUGAGAUAGAGGGGUUGACGACUCGACUGGAGGAUGCUCCAAGCAGUGUGCAGGCAUGGAAGAAGUUUGCCGCUCGGUGUGGCGCGGACGUGGCGUUGUCUCUAGUCUGAGUGCAUUGUAAGGAAGCCCGUGAAGACAAGCUGAAGAGGUUGCAGGUCGCCAACACCAAGAAGCUUCGAUUUGAAGACUUCAUGGAGACCUUUCUCGACACGGCCACUCGUAUUGCAGAUGGAAUCGACCUCGACACCUUCGUGGAGCCUGCCAGCUCCGGCGAUGCUUGAUUGACUUUAUGCUGAGCAUGCAUUUACCUCGGUAUGCCGAGUGGAGUUUGUAUUAAACUUUGGCCACUGCUGUUGGCCGGUACAUUCGUGGCUCAGUGUGGAUAAACUUGAUUCACACCGAGCCGACUGAUCGUUGAACUCAAUUUGAAUUCGAACCGGAUCUUUUGCUCUUCUUUCGUUGAGUUUUUUUUACACGAGUUUUGCUCGUGGUUUUUGUUUAGGCGACUCAGCUAAACCUCCGAGUGUAACUUGUGUGCCCACUCAGAGGAAGCUCUUUACUUAGGCAACUCUGGUUCGCAACUAAGUCCUCGAGUGUGACUUUUGGUGCACACUCGGAGUUAGUUUUUACUUAGGCAACUCUGGAUCGCAGCUAAGUCCCCGAGUGUGACUUUUGGUGCACACUCGGAGCAAGUUGUUUACUUAGGCGACUCUGAGUCGCAGCUAAGUCCCCGAGUGUGACUUUUGGUGCACACUCAGAGCGAGUUGUUUACUUAGGCGACUCUAGGUCGCAGCUAAGUCUCCGAGUGUGACUUUUAGUGCACACUCGGAGCGAGUUGUUUACUUAGGCGACUCUGGGUCGUAGCUAAGUCCCCGAGUGUCACUUUUGGUGCACACUCGGAGCGAGUUGUUUACUUAGGCAACUCUGGGUCGCAGCUAAGUCUCCGAGUGUGACUUUUUGUGCACACUCGGAGUGAGUUGUUUACUUAGGCGACUCUGGGUCGCAGCUAAGUCCCCGAGUGUGACUUUUGGUGCACACUCGGAGGGAGUUGUUUACUUGGGCGACUCUAGGUCGCAGCUAAGUCCCCGAGUGUGACUUUUGGUGCACACUCGGAGCAAGUUGUUUACUUAGGUGACUUUGGGUCGCAGCUAAGUCUCCGAAUGUGACUUUUAGUGCACACUCGGAGCGAGUUGUUUACUUAGGCGACUCUGGGUCGCAGCUAAGUCCCCGAGUGUGACUUUUGGUGCACACUCAGAGCGAGUUGUUUACUUAGGCGACUCUGGGUCGCAGCUAAGUCCCCGAAUGUGACUUUUAGUGCACACUCGGAGCGAGUUGUUUACUUAGGCGACUCUGGGUCGCAGCUAAGUCCCCGAGUGUGACUUUUGGUGCACACUCAGAGCGAGUUUUUAACUUAGGCGACUCUGGGUCGCAGCUAAGUCCCCGAGUGUGACUUUUGGUGCACACUCGGAGCAAGUUGUUUACUUAGGUGACUCUGGGUCGCAGCUAAGUCCCUGACUGUGAAUUUUGGUGCACACUCGGAGCAAGUUGUUUACUUAGGCAACUCUGGGUCGCAGCUAAGUCCCCGAGUGUGACUUUUGGUGCACACUCGGAGUUAGUUUUUUAGACCGGAGUCUGCAAACGCAGAAGAAUUUUGAAUCGGCAAGAAAUUCAUCCGCUUUGUAUUACUUCGAUGACAUUUGUUCUUUACAUUGUCUCUGUCGGCGGUUAUGUGUAGAAGUGCUUCAGUAGAUCUCCAUUCCAUGCCCGCGGCUCGUCCGUCUCCCUGUCGAGGUUGUAGAGUCGAUACGCUCCAUUGUUCCGUACCUUAGAAAUGAUGAACGGUCCUUCAUAGGCGGGAGCCAACUUGUGUGGUCUCUGUUGAUCCACUCGGAGCACCAGGUCUCCUGCUUGGAACGUGCGGCUCCUGACGUGCCGCUCAUGAAAUCGCCGCAGAUCUUGUUGAUAAAUUGUUGAACGGAUCAAUGCCAUCUCGCGCUCCUCUUCCAAAAGGUCUACUCCGUCUUGCCUGGCUUGCUCUUCUUCGGCUUCGGAGAAGAGUUCGACUCGUGGAGAGUUGUGAAGCAAGUCACUUGGAAGGACUGCCUCUGCUCCAUAAACGAGGAAAAAUGGGGAUCGUCCUGUCGAUCUAUUCGGGGUUGUUCGGAGGCCCCACAGCACCGAAGGCAGCUCGGUGACCCAUGCGCCGGCGGCAUGCCCAACUUCCCGCAGGAGUCGAGGCUUCAACCCUUAAAGAAUGAGUCCAUUCGCCCGCUCCGCUUGUCCAUUUGUUUGGGGGUGCGCAAAGGAUGCAAAAUACACUCGGAUACCUUGGCCUACGCAAAAACCUUUGAACUCGUCCGAGUUAAAGUUUGGGCCAUUGUCGGUGAUUAUGCUGUGUGGAACCCCGUAUCUGGCAAUGAUGUCUCUGAUAAAUUUGAUGGCCGUAAGGGCAUCAAGCUUCUUGAUUGGCUUGGCUUCAAUCCACUUGGUAAACUUGUCGACUGCUACCAGCAGAUGGGUGAAUCCUCCUUGGCUUGUUCUGAAUGGUCCGACUGUAUCUAAUCCCCACACGGCCAAUGGCCAAGAAAGGGGAAUUGUCUUCAGCGCGGACGUUGGCUUGUGGGACUUGUUUGAAUAGAACUCACAACCUUCGCAAUGGUCGACUAUAUCUUUUGCCAUUUCAUUCGCCUGCAACCAGAAGAAACCAGCUCUGAAUGCUUUGGCAACGAUCGCCCUUGAGGAGGCAUGAUGACCACAGGUUCCUGAGUGAAUUUCUUCCAAAAUUAACCGACCCUCCUCAGGAGAGAUACACCCCUGAAGGACGCCUGAAACACUUUCUCUGUAUAACUGGUCAUCAAUGACGGUGAAGGACUUCGACCUGCGAAUGAUCUGCCUAGCUUGGACCUCAUCUUCCGGUAACUCUUGCCUCAGGAUGUACGCAAUGAGUGGCACAGUCCAUUCGGGAAUGACAGCUAGAAUCUCCAUGACCAGGUCAACCACAGCGGGAAACUCGACUUCGAUCUGAUCUAUUGAGCUCUUCGGUUGCACAAGUUCCUCUAUAAAAGGAUCUUCUUUUACCGAGGGGAGGUGUAAGUGCUCGAGGCAGACAUCACUCGGGACAGGUCUCCGUGUGGAUCCAAGUUUUGCCAAUUCAUCUGCUGCUUGGUUUUUCAGUCGGGGAACAUGGUGAAGUUCCAUACCUUCGAACUUCUUUUCGAGCUUUCUUAUUGUGUUGCAGUAUGCAGUCAUGGUGGGGUUCCUUACAUCCCACUCCUUCAUUACUUGAUUAACCACUAGAUCUGAGUCGCCAUAGACCAUCAGGCGACGGACGCCGAGUGUGAUGGCCAUGCACAACCCGUAAAGGAGAGCUUCGUACUCUGCUUCGUUGUUGGAAAAAUCAAAAUGGAUCUGCAACACAUACUUGAGUUUAUCACCUUUCAGGGAUAUGAGCAGUACGCCGGCGCUGGAGCCAUUCAACAUCUUGGACCCAUCGAAGAACAUGGUCCAAUGAGCCGAGUAGAUGUGAGUCGGUUGCUGUUGCUCUACCCAUUCUGCCAUGAAGUCGGCAAGAGCUUAAGACUUUAUAGCUUUCUUGGCUUCGAACUUGAUGUCGCAGUAUAGCAUAUCCAUUGCUCACUUUGCCACUCGGCCUGAUGCGUCCCGAUUGUGGAGAAUUUCCGACAACGGAGCAUCAGAUAUGACAGAUACCGAGUGGUCUUGGAAAUAAUGAGCCACGUGCUUUGCAGUCAUGUAGAUCCCAUAAAUAAGCUUCUGAUAAUGGGGACACCUCUGCUUGGAAGGAGUCAGGACUUCAGAAACAUAAUAUACUGGCCGCUGAACCUUGUACGCUUUGCCUUCUUCUUCGCGUUCGACUGUCAGAAUAGUGUUGACGACUUCGUUUGUAGCCGCGAUGUACAAAAGAAGGGGUUCUUUACUGAGUGGGGCAGUAAGAACCGGCUGGGUGGAAAGCAGGGCUUUGAGGUCGUCGAAUGUGGUUUGGGCUUCGUUUGUCCACUCGAAGGUAUCCGACUUCUUCAUGAGUCGGUACAGAGGUAACGCCUUCUCGCCGAGUCGAGCGAUAAACCUGCUCAAAGCCGCUAGAAAACCUAUGAGCUUUUGUACGUCAUGUACUCUUACCGACCGCUCCAUUCGAACAAUGGUCCCGAUGUUUUCGGGGUUGACAUCGAUCCCUCGUUCGGAAACAAAGAAACCGAGUAACUUCCCGCUGGGAACGCCAAAUGAACACUUGGCUGGGUUUAGCUUGAUAUUGUACCUACGUAGGUUGGCGAAUGUUUCUGCCAAGUCAGUCAGUAGGUCGGAACCUUUGCGUGACUUGACUACGAUAUCGUCCAUAUAUGCCUCCACAUUUCGACCAAUCUGGUCUAGGAGGCAUUUUUGGAUCAUUCGCAUAAAAGUUGCUCUUGCAUUUUUCAAACCGAAUGGCAUAUUGAUGUAACAGAAGCACCCGAAUGGGGUGAUGAAAGAUGUUUUUAAUUCAUCCGGACCAUAUAGACGGAUCUGAUGGUAGCCCGAAUAGGCUUCAAGGAAGGAUAAGCGCUCGCAACCCGCAGUCGAAUCAACGAUUUGAUCUAUGCGGGGGAGCGGGAAGUGGUCUUUCGGACAGACCUUAUUAAGGUCCUUGAAAUCGAUGCACAUACGAAGAGACUUGUCCUUCUUGGGCACCAUGACAACAUUAGCGAGCCACUCGGAGUGGUGUACCUUGCGAAUGAAGUUGGCUGCCAGAAGUUUAGCUACCUCCUCUCCGAUUGCUUUUCUCUUGUGCGCGGCAGACCGACACAGUCGUUCUCGGACGGGCCGAGCGGCAGGAUCCACAUGCAGUCGGUGCUCAGCCAACUCCCUGGGUACACCUGGCAUGUCAGCAGGCUUCCAUGCAAAAAUGUCCCAGUUCUCAUGAAGGAAUUGGAUGAGCUCGGUUUCCUAUUUUGGAUCAAGGGUGGUGGAGAUGUUUGUUGGGGCGGUGGUGGCAUCCGUCGGGUGGACUCUUACUUUUUUCGUGUCUCCCGCCGACUGGAAUGCGGACUCGGAAGCUGGCUUCUUUGAACGCAUCAGGUCGGCAGGGUCGGCAAUCUUCUUGUACUCAUCCAACUCGAGUACAGCCAUCUGAUGGUCUGCAAUUCUCAACCCCUGCUGCAGACACUCCUCGGCUCGUUGCCGAUUGCGUGUGACAGUAAUCACGCCUUUGGGACCAGGCAUCUUCAGCUUCAAAUAUACGUAACAUGGACGGGCCAUGAAACGUACAUAUGCCGGACGGCCCAGAAUGGCAUGGUAUGCACUCUGGAAGUCUACCACCUCGAAUGUUAACUUCUAUUUGCGGAAGUUCUUGUCAGAGCCGAAGACGACGUCCAACGCAAUCUGGCUGAGAGAUUUUGCCUUUCUUCCUAGGACGACUCCAUGGAAUUGCAUACUGCUUUCGCUAAGUCUGGACAUCACAAUGCCCAUUCCCUUGAGAGUAUCGGUGUACAUGAUAUUCAAGCCGCUGCCGCCGUCCAUGAGGACUUUGCGCAGCCUAACUCCUUCCACCACCGGGUCGACGACCAGAGCUUGCCUCCAUGGGGUGGGUACGUGUGCUGGGUGGUCUGCCUGAUCAAAAGUGAUUGCAGUCUGUGACCACUUGAGGAACGUGGGAGUGGAUGGGGUUGCCAUGUUUACCUCCCUGCUGACCAGCUUCAGUCGACUUUUGCUUUCUACAUCAGCAAAAAUCAUUAAUUUUGCAUGGACUUGAGGGAACGGAUCCUCCUUGUCCUCAUCAUCUUUCUCGGUGUCUUUCUCACUCGGCUGUCCUUCACCGAAUCCUUGGAUCAGGAGGCGACACUACCGAGUGGUAUGUUUCGGCAAUAUGACAUUGCCUUCUUCAUCCAUCUUCGUGUGGAUUGGACACGGCUGAUCUAGGAUGGAAUUUCCUGACUGUUUCUUCUUGGGGGUGUACUGUGGUUUCCCCUUGCCUUUGAACUUAGCGUUUGUAACGACUGCCGCCUCUGCUUGCGGAGUGGAUUGGGCUUUCUAUUUCUGCUUCCGACUGCUGCUCCCAUCUCCGUCGGCGACUGACUUAUGCUUGCCGCUACGUAUGCGGUCCUCCUCUUCGCCAUUUGCAUAGCACGCAGCUAUCUCCAUCAUCUUGCUCAUGGAGAUGUCGCCUGUCCGACCAAACUUCAGGUAUAGAUCUUUGUACCGAACGCCUGCCUUGAAGGCGCAGACUGCUUGGUGUUCUGUAACAUUCUCCACCGUGUGGUAGAGGGUUGUCCAGCGUUGGGUAAAAUCGCGCAGGGGCUCGUUUUGCUUCUGGACACAGUGCUGAAGCUUUGUGAGACCAGCGGGGCAUUUGCACGUACCCUUGAAGGUCCUGAUGAAGACUCGGGACAGAUCUGCCCAACUCGAAAUGGUUGAUGGAGCUAACUGGUUUAGCCAAGCUCGAGCCGAACCGUCGAGCAUCAAUGGGAGAUGUUUCAGGGCGACAUGGUCAUCUCCGCCACCGAUGUGGACCACCACUCUGUAGUCGUCUAACCAAGUUUCUGGUUUGGACUCUCCUGUGAAUUUGCUGAAUCCCGUCGCCAAUCGGAAGUUGGGAGGGAUGUCAGCCGAGCGAAUGGCCCGACUGAAACACUCGGGACCAGAAACAACGGUCCUGCUUCCACUCGGAUGAUCUCUAUCGUGACCACCACGGUGGGCUCGGCUUCUAUCAACCUUCUUUUGAGUGAUAUACCCUCUUGCAUCAGGCCUUUGAUCAUGCGCGUCACCGCCCGAACGACAAUCAUCGUAAUGCGGGGGUCCGUAAGGCCCACUCCGCCGAGGAGUACGCGAACGGCGAUGAUCUUCGGGAUGAGACCGAAUGGAAGGUGGAUUCCGACUCUGGUCCCUGGAAUGAUCGUUCCAGAGGCUGCCCCCUCUGCGACGCUGGUGAGAGCUGGGACUGAAAACCGACCGAUGUGUGUUCGCUUGAACGGAACUGUUGUGGAUCUUGUUGUGCGACUGGGAGACCGCCGAGUUUUGCUGCUGCACCGUAUGUAACAAGGCACGGAUCUGCUCAAUUCCUCUACCAGCCUCUGAAUCAGUCGGCUGGAGAGAAUCAGUGAUCUUGGCGGCUGCAGCCAAGUUGAGGAUGGGUGUGCGGAACACCUCGACGUGGCUCUGGCGAACGCGUCGACUGGAAGAACGAGGGUGCUGACGACGAGCGCCGGAUGAUUCUCCGAUCUCACGCUCGUUCCGACCAGUCCCGGGCGACUUUUGUGGGAAUCGGCCAUGAGCACUUCGGCCGUAGGCCCGUGACCCUGAUACUCGGAAGGUAGUUCAGUCGGAAAUGAGUCCAAGCACUGGGAUGACCGCGGGACCACAACCGAUUCAAGCACCACCACUUGAGAGGACAUGUUUUGUCGCGCUAGGGCGUGUCGCACCCAACGCUGGAGCCCCGAACGACCGGAUAGCUUGUUGCGGUGCGUGACGGGGGCGAAGAUCGAAACCGGGGUCGAUGGCUGGACAAGAAGAACACCGCAGGAACUGGCACGGAAGUGCGUAGCCCCGCGACUCGGAAGCGUCUUGACAUCGAGGGGCGCAUCCUGAUGCCAUGCCGAAUCAUCAGCGAUGAAGGAGAGCGCACCGAAGAGGAUCUCACGACCCAUGCACAGAUCUCCGCCGGAUGACAUGACGAAGAGAUGAAAUCACAAACUCGCCGGAAGUCGCUUAUACGCCAGCCCCACGGUGGGCACCAACUGUCGUGGGUAUAAGUCUGGCAGUAGAAGUACGGGGUAUGAAAGUAUAUGGGCAGAGCCUUAGCUACGGCGAGGAUAUAUGAGUUCAGGCCCCUCUACGGUGGAGGUAAAAGCCCUACGUCUCAGUGCUCUUGGGAGCUUUGUGUCGAGUGUAUUAAGGGAUUACAGCAAGUGCCAACCCUUUUAGCAGUGGUGAAGGGCGGCUUAUAUAGAGUGCGCUGCCCUUCAUAAUGGUCCGGUGGACAGGGGUGGAGUAGUGGAGAGUAAAGGCUAGCGUUACUGGUAACGUAAGCCUUAAAUGCUAGUUAUGGUGUAUGAAAACGUAUGACCGUUGCCCUCCUGGGAGGUUAUGCCGAACAGAGUGGAUUCCAGUCGAUACGUUAGAUAUGCUCCGAGUGGAUCGUCGCCGACUGGAUGAUGGGGGCGUCCUUAGUUUAGUCGGAACUGUCUAAGGUCCUUGUCCUCUAUGAAGGGUAGUCCUUGGGUAGGACCUAUAUGGCAGACCUAUGACCCUACCCUGGGACUAUAACCCCACCAGUUGUCUUGACAAUCUGUUUUCCUAUAAAAUGCCUAUGCAUAGGAAGUAUGUUAGACUUAGAUAUGAUUUUCACAUGCUUUAGGAUGCUCUCGUUGUGCUUCAAUUCUUGUCUUUUGUGAGAGCAUCAUUGAAUGCCUAGCUAAGGGCGUUAAACAAAAACGCUUGUUGGGAGGUAACCCAACGACUCUAUCCUUUUUCUUUCUGUUUUGUGUUUCCCACACUUUCAUAAUUCUGUUAUGAUUGUGUUUUUUUUGUUUCUUUUUGCGUUUGUGCCAAGCAAAACCGUUAUGAUUAGUCUUGGGGAUGAUCGUUUGGCCAUGCUGGAAAAGACAGAAACUUUCUGCUCACGAAAAGAAUUUUCAUUUUUUGUCUGUAAGAGAUUUUGAGUUGAUUCUUUUUGCUGCUGAUUGCUACAGAAGUUCUUCAGACUGUCUUAAGUUUUCAGAAUUUUUGAAGUAACAGAGUUAUACGGAAUAUACAGAUUGCUACAGACUGGUCUGCUGUUAACAGAUUCUGUUUUUGUUGUGUUGGUUGCUUAUUUUGAUGAAACUAUGGAUAGUAUCGGGGGGUAUUAGCCAUGGAAGAUUGAAAGUACAGUAACCCAACAUCAGCACAAGUAGAAUUUAAGUUUGCUACAGUACCUAAGGAAGUGGUGGUUUGCUUUUUCUUGUACUAAUGUUAUCACGAGUUGUUGUUUAUGUUUCGUGUUGUGAAGUUUUCAAGUUUUGGAUGAAGUUCUUAUGGACAAAGAGAUAAAGAGUGGCAAGAUCUCAAGCUUGGGGAUUCCCAAGGCACCCCAAGAGAUUCAAGGAUGCCGUAAAAGCCUAAGCUUGGGGAUGCCCCGGGAAGGCAUCCCCUCUCUCGUCUUCAAUCCAUCGGUAACGUUACUUGGGGCUAUAUUUUUAUUCACCACAUGUUAUGUGUUUUUGCUUGGAGCGUCUUGUAUCGUAGGAGUCUUUUUUUUGUUGUGUCACAAUCAUCCUUGCUGACACCUAGAGAGAGAGACAUGCACACACCGUGAUUUUGUCGAGCUUCACUUAUAUCUUUUGGUAGACAAUUCAGCUCACAUGCGCUUCACUUAUAUCUUUUGAGCUAGAUACUUUUGCUCUAUGUGCUUCACUUAUAUAUUUUAGAGCACAGAGGUGCGUGGCUUGGUAGCUGAUCUAUGCUUUGAAAGUAGUCUCAAAAGGGGUAGUUAUCCAAAGGGAUACGAAAACUUCCACCUUCAUGUGCAUUGAAUAGUUAGAGAAGUUUGAUUCAUCUCAAUUAGUUUUGAGUUCUGGUUAUGGUAAUAUUAAAGUCAUGCUAGUAAGGUGUUGUGGAUCUAGAAAUACUUGUGUUGAAGUUAGUGAUUCCCGUAUCAUGCACGUAUGUGAACCGCUAUGUGAUGAAAUCUAAGCAUGAUUAGUCUAUUGAUUGUCAUCCUUUGCGUGGCGGUCGGGAUCGCGCGAUGGUUUAUACCUACCAGCCCUUCCCCUAGGAGUAUGUGUUGAAUGCUUUGUUUCGAUUACUAAUAAAUUUUUUGCAACAAGUAUAUGAGUUCAACACGACUAAUGUUGAGUCCAUGGUUUAGAUGCACUUUCACCUUCCUUCAUCACUAUCUUCUUAGUGCCGUGCAACUUUCGCCGGUGCACAAAACCCACCAUUAGCCUCCCUCAAAACAGCCACCAUACCUACCUACUAUGGCUUUUUCAAAGUCAUUCCGAGAUAUCUUGCCAUGCAACUACCACCAUGACAUGUGCCACCACGUCUACAUUGCCAUUGCAUGAUCGUAAGAUAGCUAGCAUGAUGGUUCCAUUGAUGUCUAUGCCAUGCUAGAUCAUUGCCACGGUACACUACCGAAGGCAUUCCAUAUAGAGUCAUCGUUACUCUAAGUUUUGAGUUGAAAGUGUGAUGAUCAUCAUUAAUGGAGCAUUGUCCCAUGUGAGGAAAUAAAAGAGGCCAAGGAAGCCCACCAAAAAAAAGAGGCCAAAGAGCCCACCAAAAUAAAAAAAAAUGAGAGAAAAAGAGAGAAGGGACAAUGCUACCACUUUUUCCACACUUGUGCAUAUUGAGCACCAUGAUCUUCAUGAUUGAGAGUCUCUCGUUUUGUCACCACCAUAUAGCUAGUGGGAAUUUUUCAUUAUAUAACUUGGCUUGUAUAUUCCUAUGAUAGGCUUCCUCAAAAUUGCCUUAGGUCUUCGUGAGCAAGCAAGUUGGAUGCACACCCACUAGUUUUCUUUAAGAGCUUUCACAUACUCAUAGCUCUAGUGCAUCAAUUGUAUGGCAAUCCCUACUCAUUCACAUUGAUAUCUAUUGAUGAGCAUCUCCACAGCUCAUUGAUUUGCCUAGUUAAUGUCACUAUCUUCUCCUUUUUGUCUUGCAACCUCCACUACAUUCCACACCAUCUAUAGUGCUAUAACCAUGGCUCACGCUCAUGUAUUGCGUGAGAGUUGAAAAGGUUUGAGAAAGUAAAGGUGUGAAACAAUUACUUGGCCAAUACCGGGGUUGUGCAUGAUUUAACUUCAUUGUGCAAUGAUGAUAGAGCAUAGCCAGACUAUAUGCUUUUGUAGGGAUAACUUUCUUUUGGCCUUGUUAUUUUGAAAGUUCAUGAUUACUUUGCUAGUUUGCUUGAAUUAUUAUUGUUUCCACGUCAGUACCAAACUAUUGUUUUGAAUCUAAUGGAUCUGAACAUUCACAUCACAUGAGAGGAAUUACAAAGGACACCUAUGCUAGGUAGCAUGAAAGCAUCAAAAAUUCAUUCUUAUCACUUCCCUACUCGAGUACGAGCAGGAGUUAAGCUUGGGGAUGCUUGAUACGUCUCAAACGUAUCGAUAAUUUUUUAUGGUUUCACGUUGUUCUGUUUUCUUCUUUGGUUGUUUUAUGUACCGUUUAUAUCUUUUUUGGGACUAACUUAUUAAUUCAGUGCCAAGUGCCAGUUCCUUUUUUUCCCAUGUUUUUGACUCUUUUCAGAUUUGAUUUUGGAACGGAGUCCAAAUGGAAGAAAGACCCCGAAAUGAUUUUUUCCCGAACAGAAGAAGAUCAGGGGGCCUUUGGGCCAAGCCAGGUGGGAUCCAGGGAGCCCACAAGCCCCCACUCCACCACCAGGGGGGGAGGCUGCGAUGGGCAGGCUUCUGGCCUCCCUGGCCGCCCCCUGAUCUAGAUCUUUGGCCUAUAAAUUCGCAAAUAUUCUGCCAAAGAUCAGGGGAGCCUCGAAAAUACUUUUCCGCCUCCGCAAGCUUCCUUUUCCGCGAGAUCUCAUUCGGAGACCCUUCCCGGCACCCUGCCGGAGGGGACUUUGGAGUUGGAGGGCUUCUUCUUCAUCAUCAUCGCCCCUCCAAUGACUCAUGAGUAGUUCACUUCAGACCUACGGGUCCGUAAUUAGUAGCUAGAUGGCUUCUUCUCUCUCUUGGAUCUUCAAUACAAAGUUCUCCAUGAUCUUCAUGGAGAUCUAUCCGAUGUAAUCUUCUUUGGCGGUGUGUUUGUCGACAUCCAAUGAAUUGCGGAUUUGUGAUCAGAUUAUCUAUGAUAUAUAUUUGAGUCUUUGCUGAUUUCUUAUAUGCAUGAUUUGAUAUCCUUGUAAGUCUCUCCGAGUCUUGGGUUUUGUUUGGCCGACUAGAUCUGUGAUUCUUGCAAUGGGAGAAGUGCUUGGUUUUGGGUUCUGCCAUGUGGUGACCUUUCCCUGUGACAGUAGGGACAGCAAGGCACACAUCAAGUAGUUGCCAUCAAGGGUAAAAAGAUGGGGGUUUUAUCAUUGGUUUGAGAUUAUCCCUCUACAUCAUGUCAUCUUGCUUAAGGCGAUACUCUAUUCUUAUGGACUUAAUACACUAGAUGCAUGCUGGAUAGCGGUCAAUGUGUGGAGUAAUAGUAGUAGAUUCAGACAGUAUCGGUCUACUUGUUUUGGACGUGAUGCCUAUAGAAAUAAUCAUUGCAUAGAUAUCGUCACGACUUUGCGCGGUUCUAUCAAUUGCUCGACAGUAAUUUGUUCACCCACCGUCUACUUGCUUUCAUGAGAGAAGCCACUAGUAAACACUACGGCCCCCGGGUCUAUUCACAUCCAUCAUUUACAUCUCCGCUUUUACUUUGCUUUGUUACUUUGUUGCUUUCAGUUAUCACUUGGCAAACAAUCUAUAAGGGAUUGACAACCCCUUCAUACCGUUGGGAGCAAGUUUUUGUGUUUGUGCAGGAUCUUGAGAUACUCCUCCACUGGAUUGAUGCCUUGGUUCUCAAACUGAGGGAAAUACUUACCACCGCUACGCUACAUCACCCUUUCCGCUUCGAGGGAACACCAACGCAAGGCUCAAAGUCUCCCCUUUUACUUUGCUUUGUUACUUUGUUGCUUUCAGUUCUCACCUGGCGAACAAUCUAUAAGGGAUUGACAACCCCUUCAUAGCGUUGGGAGCAAGUUUUUGUGUUUGUGCAGGAUCUUGAGAUAAUCCUCCACCGGAUUGAUACCUUGGUUCUCAAACUAAGGGAAAUACUUACCACCGCUACGCUACAUCACCCUUUCCGCUUCGAGGGAACACAAACGCAAGGCUCCAAGGCCACGGGGGAAAUCCUUUGCAUACUUACCUAGGAAGUCCCUUAAGGCAUAGCCGCAGCAGAAAGAUCAAGCCAAGUAUUCUCCCGUCUACGUGCCUAUUUCUGGCGCCGUUCGAAGGUCUUUUUUUGCAGUAGCAACCAGCUAAAUCAACAUUUCUAGCUCAAGAAUAGGGUCACCAAGGUAGCAAGAAUACGCGAAGGAUAAAACAGUAGAGCAAAAACUAAUUGGAGCAAUGGAGGUGUCACUUACCAAGAAGUAAUUUCCCCAAAACGGUUCGGAUAAUGGUGCUUUGAGCAAGGAGAUCGAAAAUCACAGCCAAAUGAGCAAGAACACGGGUUUGAGCUACGAAACAAUUUUUUCUGGAGGUGAAAGAAGAGGAUGGGAGUUGGAAUGAGUGGAGGGGGUCCCUGUGGGCCGCACAAGCUUGCUAGCCGCCACGAGGGGGGGCGGCAGCUGCAGGGCUUGUGGCCCACUGGUCGGGCCCCCAGGCCAGCUCUCAGGCCCAGUAUUUUUCAAAUAUUCUAGAAAAAAUCAUACUAGAUUUUCAGGACCAUCGGAGAACUUUUAUUUUCGGGGUAUUUUUCUCCAGGACGCUAAAACAGAAAACAGGAAAAUCUAAACUAAAUCUAUCAUUUUUCUUCUAAGCAAUAGAAAAUGAAAGCUCAAAACAGAGUUAUGUGACUCUUUGAUUCAUCCAUUUCAUGGUCAUCGAAAGAAAUCCGUCAAUGGGGUUGAUCAAGUCCUCAUGACAAAACCUUCUCGAAUCGCAAGAGAGAACGGAGAAUUUUCGAAUAACCACUAAGUCACCUCAAUGGGGAUAUGUAUCUCCCCAACAAGCAAAUCAUACUUCAUCUUGACACGAGGAAUAGGGCAUUCAAAGCUCCCAACAAGAAUCGAUGAAGGCUUUUCAAUAGCAUUGAUGCAAUGUACUUGAUAUCGUUUCUUCGGAAAGUGCACUGUGUGCUCAUUACCGUUGACAUGGAAAGUGAAAUUGCCUUUGUUGCAAUCUAUAACAGCCCCUGCAGUGUUUAAAAAGGGUCUUCCGAGGAUGACGGCCAUGGCAUCAUCCUCGGGAAUAUCCAAGAGAACAAAGUCUGUUAAGAUAGUAGUCUUAGCAACCACAACAGGCACAUCCUCGCAAAUGCCGAUAGGGAAAGCAGUUGAUUUGUCGGCCAUUUGCAGAGAAAUUUCAGUGGGUGUCAACUUAUCCAAUUCAAGUCUACGAUAAAGAGAGAGCGGCAUAACACUAACACCGACUCCAAGGUCACAUAAGGCAUUUCUUACGUAGUUUCCUUUAAUAGAACAAGGUAUAGUGGGCACUCCGGGAUCACCAAGUUUCUUAGGAGUUCCACCUUUGAAAGUGUAAUUGGCAAGCAUGGUGGAGAUCUCAAGAUCUGGUAUCUUCCGUUUAUUAGUCACGAUAUCUUUCAUUUACUUGGCAUACAGAGACAUUUUGAGCAUAUCAGUUAACCGCAUCUGCAGAAAGAUGGGUCUUAUCAUCUCAACAAAGCGCUCAAAAUCCUCAUCAUCCUUUUUCUUGGAUGUCUUGGAGGAAAGGGCAUAGAUCUCUGAACCCAUGGAUCCCUUUCUUUACCAUGCUUCCUAGCAGUGAAGUCAUUCUUAUCGUAUCUCUUAGGUUGUGGGUUAUCAGGAUUAACCGUAGGUUCAAUCUCCACAUCCUCAUCAUUGCUAGGUUGUGCAUUAUUAUGAACAUCACUGUCCAUAUUGUCACCAGGUUCAUGUUCAUCACCAGAUUGUGUUUCUGCAUCAGACGCAGAAAUAUCAUUAGAUUCUUCAGGUGUGACAGUAUUUGGUGAACUGGCAUGUAGGUUUCUAUCAUCCUUCUUCUUCUCAUUAGGAUGACUGGGUGUAUCAGCAUUAAUUCCUUGAGAAUCUUGAUCAAUUCUCUUAGGAUGACCUUCAGGAUACAAAGGUUCCUGAGUCAUUUUGCCUCAUGUAGUAAUGACUCUGACAGAGUUGUCUUUUAACUCAUUGAGCAAGUCAUUCUGAUCUUUAAGUACUUGUUCUACCUGAGUAGUAAUCAUAGAUGAAUGUUUACUCAGAAGCUUCAGAUCAUUGACAUUUCUGUCUACACAAGCACUUAAAUGGCUAAGCAUACGAGUACUUUGUUCCAAAUGUCUGCUAACAUAAUCAUUGAAACUCUGUUGUUUGGCAACAAAGUUGUCAAAUUCAUCAAAGCAUAGGCUAGCAGGUUUGUCAAAAGGAAUAUCACUCUCAUCAAACCUACAUAGAGAAUUCACUUCUACUACUUGUAUCGGGUUAUCGAGACCAUGGAUCUCUUAGAUAGGUGGUAGAUUUUUGACAUCUUCAGAUCUAAUGCCUUUCUCUUGCAUAGAUUUAUUGGCUUCUUGCAUAUCUUCGGGACUGAGGAAUAGAAUACCUCUUUUCUUAGGAGUUGGCUUAGGAGGUGGUUCGGGAAUAGUCCAAGCAUUAUCGUUGAUCAAGAUGUUAUUCAGUAGGAUCUCAGCUUGUUCGAUAGUUUGUUCCCUAAAAACACAACCGGCACAACUAUCUAGGUGGUCUCUAGAGGCAUCGGUAAGUCCGUUAUAGAAGAUAUCAAGUAUCUCGUUCUUCUUAAGAGGGUGAUCAGGCAAAACAUUUUGUAGUUGGACGAUCCUCCCCCAAGCUUGUGGGAGACUCUCUUCUUGGAGUUGAGCAAAGUUGUAUAUUUCCUGCAAGGCAGCUUGCUUCUUAUGGGCAGGGAAAUUUUUCUCACAGAAGUAAUAGACCAUAUCCUAGGGACUACUCACACAUCCAGGAGCAAGAGAGGUGAACCAGGCUUUAGUGUCAUCCUUUAAAGAGAAAGGAAACAACUUAAGGAUGUAGUAAUGGCGGAUCUUCUCCUCACUAGUGAAAAGGGUGGCUAUAUCGUGUAGUUUGGUAAGAUGGCCUACGACCGUCUCAGACUCAUAACCGUGGAAAGGAUCAGAUUCGACUAGAGAGAUUAUCUCAGGAUCGACAGAGAAUUCAUAAUCCUUAUCGGUGAUAAAGAUAGGUGAAGUGGCAAACUUCGGGUCGUAUUUCAUCCUAGCUUUCAUUCAUCCUAGCUUUCAGAGAUUUUUCCUUCCACUUGAGAAGUAAUUUCUCAGCGUCAUAGGCAUCCUUACACGCAAGAAAAUCCUCAUCUAUCUCUCCCUCCAUAACAUAACCCUCAGGUAUAUCAGGCAAUUCAUAUCUAGGAGAGCUAGAUCUAGCAGGAGAAAAAGCAGGUUCUAUCUCAAUAGUAUCGGCAUUUUCAGAAGCAUCACGAGCAAUGGCAGUAGCUCUAGCAAUAUGAGCAUCAAGGAACACCCCUAGUGGAACAUCAGGCAAAGUAGCGUCUCUAGCAGUAUCAAGCAUAGCAUCAUGAGGCAUAGCAUCUCUAGCAGUAUCAGGCAUAGCAUCGCUAGCAGUAUGAGGCAUAGCAUCUCUAGCAGUAUCAGGCAUAACAUCUCUAGUAGUAUCACGCAUAGCAGCAUCAUAAGCAUCAUCAAGCACAGGCGACAUAUCAAGAUUUCUAGCAGGAGGUGAUGUCGCAAACUUACUCAUAACUGAAGGUGAAUCAAGUGCAAAGCUAGAUGGCACUUCCUUACCUCCCCUCGUAGUUGAGGGCAAGACUUUGGUUUUCGGAAACUUCAGAUUCUUCAUAGUGAUCAGCAGAUAUAAAUCCCAAGUAACUUAGAGAAUAUAGCAAUCGCAUCCCCGGCAACGGCGCCAGAAAAAUGCUGAUGGCACUCUCUGGCAAUGGCUAGACGAAUGCUAUUCUCGAUUGCUCAACAAUUAGAAAUUGUCUUGCAAUGACCCACCAGCGCGUGGGAUCGAGGUAGUUUUCGAGGGUAGAGUAUUCAACCCAAAUUUGUUGAUUCGCCAAUAGGAAGUUGGAGGAUACUCUCAAGUAUUAGCAGCUGAAUAUGUCAGAUUCAACCACACCUGAAAGAUUAAUAUCUGCAAGCAAAGUAUCAACAACAAAGUAGUAUGAUAGCAAUGAUGUCAGAAACGAUCUGUUGAUGGCACACUAUUCCUAACUAUCGUAUCAAUGGCGCCAGAAGUUGCCCGUUGACGGAAAUUGUCUUUUUCUGUCAACGUCGAGCGAAUCAGAAUUGUAGCAGGUAUCAGCUGUGUAACGAGUAGCAGCAGUGGCAAGGAACAGUAGUAGUGACAGAAAUAGCAAGUAACAGCAGUAGCAAGUAACAGCAGUAGCAAGUAGCAACAGUAUUCAUCAUGCAACAGUUAUAACACGGAGAUAUAUGUGGCUAGCUCCCGUUCGUCAAUGUGAUGUAGGCAUGCAUUCUGUGUGUAGUCAUACGUGCUUAGGGAAAAGAACUUGCACGACAUCUAUUGUCCAUCCCUCCCGUGGUAGCGGGGUCCAAAAGGAAACUACAGGAUAUUAAGGUUCUCCUUUUAAUAAAGAACCGGACCAAAGCAUUAGCACUUGGUGAACACAUGAACUCCUCAAACUAUGGUCAUCACCGGGAGUGGUUCCGGUUAUUGUCACUCCGGGGUUGCCGGGUCAUAACACAUAGUAGGUAACUACAACUUGCAAGAUUGGAUCUAAAACACACAUAUAUUGGUGACAACAUAAUAAUUUCAGAUCUGAAAUCAUGGCACUCAGGCCCUAGUGACAAGCAUUAAGCAUGACAAAGUAGUAGCAACAUCAAUCUCAGAACAUAUUGGAUACUAGGGAUCAAUCCUCGGCAAAACUAACUCGAUUACAUGAUAGAUCUCAUCCUACUCAUCACCGCCCAGCGAGCCUACGAAUAGAUUACUCACGAACAAUGAAGAGCUUCAUGGAAUUGGAGAGGGAAGAAGGUUGAUGAUGACGAUGGUGACGAUUUCCCCUCUCCGGAGCCCAAAACGGACUCCAGAUCUGCCCUCCAGAUGAAGAACAGGAUGUGGCGGCGCCUCCGUAUCGCAAACGCGACGAAAUCUUCUCUCUUGAUUUUUUCUGGGACGAAAGUGAAUUUAUAGAGCUAAGUUUGGGGGCGGCAGAGCCACGUGGGCCCCACAAGCUUGCUAGCCGCCACCUGGNCUACCCGCCACCAGGGGGGUGGCAGCUAUAGGGCUUGUGGCCCACUGGCCCAUCCCCUCUGGUGGAUCUUUGCGCGGGUAUUUUUCAUAUUUUCUAGAAAUAUUCUUCGUAAAUUUUCAGGACGUUCUGAGAACUUUCAUUUCUGCACAAAAACAACACAAAGGCAAUUCUGCUGAAAACAGCGCGAGUCCAGGUUAGUUCCAUUCAAAUCAUGCAAAUUAGAUUCCAAAACAAGGGCAAAAGAGUUUGGAAAAGUAGAUACGAUGGAGACGUAUCAAUGACGACAAGUACUAUCAAGCAAUGGAGAAUAAAUGCUAAUGAUAUAGAGAUGUGAAACCUCUAUGAAUGAAGAACCGAAAAAACUCCAUCCUCAAAAACGACAUAGAAUAUGCAUAUGAACUCCGUUUUCGAUGAACUUGAACUUGUCAUGAAUAUGACCAUAAGCUCAAGAACGCGCAUAGGGAAAAACCAUCCAAGAACCAAGAAAGAUUAUCUUUCCAAUAAUGCAUUGGUUUGAGCUCUCAACAGACGAUAUGAUCAAGCUACUCACUUGAGAGCCCCCCUUGGUAGUACGACAAUCUAUCCUAUAACCCGGUCUCCCAACUAACGCGCUGAGACCGGUAAAAUAGAAAACCUAUUAAGGACAAAUAUUUGCCUUGCGCAUAGUCCACUUGAGCUAAAUGAUGAUGAUGUUGUACUCCUCAAGAUUGACCACCUUCCUUCAUUGUGUUGGCUUGAUGAAGACUAGUUGAUUGCGCCCCAUACUUCACUAUAGGAAAGCAACUCUUCGGCACAUCUUCACCAUAGUGGACGACAAGAUUCAAGCAUGAUCUCGUCUGAUGCUCCACUUGAACUUGCACGCUGCAAUCUUCCAUGGGUUGAAUGAGACUUCCUGUUGACGCGGUCCCAUGGAAACACACCUACCCCACAUAGAACUUUCACAAAGACCAUGGGUUAGUACACAAAGCGUAAUGGACAAUGCUUACCGUACCAUGGGCUCACUUGAUCCCUCUCGGUACAUCUUGUACGCUUUGUGUGUUGAUCAACUUGAUUUACUCUUUGACUUAGUCUUGACCAACGUUGUGUAUUUAUGACCAAUCUUUGGAUAAAACCUUGAAUACCAUAUUGGUCAUCAUAUAAACUCUUUGAAACCAUUAGAUGGACUUCAAGAAGUGCCUAUGAACAAAUCCUUCGAAUAUAACUCAAGGCAAGCAUAUGCUCUAACAAUUCCCUACCAGGCACAUCAUUCAAAAGGAUGGAAGGUGUUCCAUAGGAUAGUAUCUUAUUGAUCCAAGUGAUGGAUCCAAUUUUUACGCACUUUUUAUAGCUCAUUUGUCGCCUAUUAUCUCCAUAUAGCAUGUUCUAUUGAGCAAAUGACAUGUACAUAUGCAUAAUUUCAAUUAUUUAUCAUGUCCAACACAAGGAUUGCAUAAUCGUUAUUCUUUGUUAGUGCUUAUAUGUGUCUUAUUUGUUUUUGUGUGUUUUGUAAGCAAUGUGGAACUCCCAUCCACUUAACACAAUGAAAAGGAUCCAAACGGAGGACAUCUAGGCACCAGACUUAGGCAGUCGGUUUUCAGAUGCUAAAAAUCAAUAUCUGCAUUGUAGGUUCAUGAGCGUUCUUCUCGUGAUUCCAACGAGUAGAGGAACGUUGAAAACAGAGUAUGGAUGUCAAAUUUACAAUUUUACCGAAGAGUCCAAACCAUUUAGUGACCUUUGGGAGGGAAAAAAUACUCGUCCCAGGCCCACACAAGCUCAAAAGUUGCAGGAUUUCAUUAUCGUUUGUUCCUACUACUUUCUUGUCCAUCAAGGGAUGUUUUGGGAAAGGAUUUGGUUCACCGAGAGCACUUAUAUCAAAGUAGAUGCUACAUCAAUGAAAGAGGGUUUGGGAGAGCUCUUAUAAAUAUAUCUCCAACCCUAACCACUCGGGGACACCAUCCAUAUCCACCUAUCCAUGCUCAGCUGUCAUCCCCAUCAAGAGGAACUUGGGGGUUGUGCCAAGCCUACAUCUCCAUUGUUGCAACCUUGGAGGAAGACUAGGAGGGAGUCAUGCUGGAAAAGCGUCAUGGGGGCUGCGGUCAUGGGCCAUAGCUGUCACAUCGUCCUCACCUAGCUACACCCCUUCUCAUUCCCCCAUCACGGUCUCCGUGAUGAAUUGUAACAACUCUUGAACCCCUUUAUAUGUGAUGUUAUUUGAGUAAUUCUUGGCUAUGGGUUGAUCAGCUAGUAAGCAUUUAUUUGAUAUGCGUCGUCUAUUUAUGCCUAUCAUCUUCAUGUUAUUAUUUACCCUUGCGGUAAUUUAGUGAUUGCAGCUGUACCGUCCAUUAGUGUAGUUGGAGACGUUCAACUCCCUAGGUCACACAUGAAGUUGAUAGAUACUUGUCCAUAUCGAGAGACCUCCGGGGUGACAGGCAUCGAUAUCUUGAGGGGAAUAAAAUUAUCCGAAGGAUCACGGUUGUUCAUAGAACUUAUUGCAUUCGGUUCAUGCCUUAUGAUAUUAAUGUCUUUCUUUUGCCCACUCACAGUAUGGGACAGGAAAUAGGAAGAGAGAGUUGUCUGAGUAUGACGAUGUUUGAGAGACAAUGUUAUGUGAGGGACCGCCCACCAUUGAUCAAUUGCGAUAUCGUAUAAUGCAAGGUAUAGACUUAAUUGUAGGUUUUAAUAGUUGAGAUAUAGAGCUUUUUGUCCUACCCACUAAUGUUUAAAACAAGGUAUGGUGUAGCUCAGCUCCAUUGUCACAAAGAGUGGUAAAAAAGUUGAGAUAUAGAGCUUUUCUUUUCGUUCCUACGCACAUAGUUGAAAAAAUCACAUCAAGGCCAAUGGACCAAAGAACAGCCAUUCCCUUCGCCAAAGCGAGGCGCAGAUGCGCUGUUGUCUUCUCUCCCACACAGGAGCUAGCCUCAUCAUGUCCAUGACAACUAGGAAGUCUUACUUGCACGUGCCCCUAAGUACCUGUGUUCUGGAACCACGGUUAUCCCCGAAUCGGUUUGAAGAACCUGACACGAAAUCUCGAUGUGCGUACGCACCCGAGAGGCUCCAUCUAAUCCUUCCUCGUGGACGAACUUCAAGAGGAUCGGAUCCCGAAAGACUAACUCGAAGAAGAAGCAUAACCAUCCAUCCCAGCACCAUCCGUAUGAGAGCUAAAACCCUACCUAUGUACUAGACGGAGCUGAGGCACCAGGAGUCCCCUUCCCGCCGAGGGGAGUCAUAUACAUAGGUUGGUCGACGGAUGUCAAGGGGAUGAAAGCUUUACCUAGUCGCCUUGCGAGAGGGGAAAGAACUUGUUCUACGUGUGGUCGGUUACUAUGCUAGUUGAGUUAAUUAUACCAAGAAAACACAUAUUUCAUUUUGAGAAACAUGCAUGUACACCACCCCUUUCAAUGCGCACACACACACUCUAUGCCUAUGAACAUUUACGAGAGAGUGAGCCAACAGACCUUAUGAUAAAAUAAAAAUACUUUACCCGCACCACUCAAAUGGCGUACUCAGACAAUUUGUAAUCAAAAAAUCUUGGGCUUAAAAUGAAACCAAAAACAAGGAAAGGUGGAAAAAGGUUGUGUGGCAACCACCCUAUAACAUCAAGAACUGAAACUUCCAUCAGACACAAUGCAUCUGAGGGCCACGCAACCUUUGAAAUGGAUAUGGCAGUGGCUGCAACAAGGCCAUUCCCAGGUACAACAAAUAAAGUCUGAGUUCAUCAAAACAAUGCCUUCAACAAGGCCAUUGCCACGUACAAAUAAUAUAGGCCAGACCAUUAGCUUUCACCAUGGAAAUCAAAACUCAUUACUCGAGGAGCAGCAUCAAAUUGCAGUCCUUCAGUGUUGCCGCCCCCGCUUGCCGAGACCGCUGUUGCAAGUCACCAAACACCUGGCACAUAGUCUUCAUCGUAUCCAAUACACCCUUCCAAUAAAGCUUAAGACCUCCAAUCACAGCGUCCAAGACUUCCUCCACCUCUAUUCAUGCCUUAGAAAUCAUAAAUUCGACAUGUCCAUGACACCCGUAAGAAAUCGAACAUUCGCGCCAUGCCCUCUCGAGCUGGGUUGGAUGAUAAUAUUAGCGCGCGCAACCGGAGCCUUUCCAGUCUAGAUAUCCAGGUUCGACAUACGUCAAUCUGUAUAGAUCUCUGAGGGGGAAGACCAGAAUGCGUCAGCAACCCGAUCCAAGAGGUCGACAUUAGGUAGAAAGACAACUUGGCGGAACAAAAGCGCUAUGGCCAAAGCACCAUUUUUAGGCCGAACCACACUCACCCACCUCCAAAGAAAACGAGCCACUCCGCACUAUGCCAAAUGCUCCAGCCACCAUACCGAGCACCACUCCGAGAAACACACCCCUGAACAACCUCCAUUUUACGGACUCAUGGCGCCAGGUCCCGAAUCCGGCUGCUCCCCGGGAGGAACGAGUCACUAGACGGCGUAGCAGCAAGCACCGGCUAUGCAUGCACUCCGGCCUGGUCGGUCCAGAGUGAUCACGAUGUUCAUCCACAUGAUUGCUAUAUCAUUGAGAGGUCAUGGUUGAUCGCAUCAUUUUGCAGGGUGCUUCAUCAUCAUGAAAUGAAUGAAUAUACGCUUCCUUUUUUGUGGGUUAGAUUCCACGAUGAUACAAAAUCUGGACUCACGAUACAUAAUUUAUGGGUUCAGUGGGGACGACAUGAACAGAGCAAAUGGACAACAGUGGGUUCUAAAAUUUUAGCUCAUGGAUGAAAACAAAGUUUUACCUUGCUUGGACACCCAAUUAAGUAGCAUUUCUACUCGCAAAAAAAAUAGCAUUUCCAAUUAAAAAAAAUCCUCCAUGACAUGUAAAUGAUUAGGCGUAGAAAAUAGUACUCCCUCCGUCACGGUUUAGAAGGCACAGUUAGACUUGCGUGCGUUUUCAAAAUAGACAAAGAUUAAGGCACAUUGCAUUUACUCCUAGCAGUUAAUUAGUAUUCCGUUGUACUAUUUCUAUAUGCAUGUGUAGUGUGAAUGCUAUUUUUUAACUCAUUGUAUAGCCAAUCAAUAACCACCUAGGUCCUAGAGAAUUUGCAUGCACGCCUUCUAAACCGUGACGGAGGGAGUACAACACUUUUGUAGUCCAAUGAAUAAUUGUGAAUAAAACAUAUAAAAGGUCAUGAUGACACACAUCACACAUGCAGCAAAUAUAUGUUAAUUAACUGCAUAAAAUGUUAUAAAAUGAAGCACCAAAUUUUACAAGCAAGCAUAAUUGGUUGACAAGUUUGUCUUAUAAGUAAAUAAAAGUGGAUAAAGGAUGUACGAUUAACAUUCGUCCUGCCUGUGCCACUGAACCUAAAUCGCCAAUCAACAAAGGAACUUCUUCGUGCACCUUUGAAGCGUUACCCGUCGGAAUAUGAAGCGAAAAGAAUAAUAGAGUACAUGCAAGGCUGGAAAAAGGAUUUGUGGCAAUCACACAUUGACAUGGACGACUGAAAUUUUCGGCACACACAACGCAUCCAACGGCCAUGCCUCUUACACUAAUCCGGAGAGAUAAGGAAACCAGGCAACCAACAAACGCCAGCCACCCCUUCCACAUCUUGAUUAAAGAUAGGAGCUCACAUGGCUAUAUAUACCGUGCUGAACAGGCAAUGGGGGCCUCAAGUGUAGCCGGCAUCCUCCUCUCUACAGUUAAUACAGUACCAUGGCCCCCGCCGUGAUGGCUUCGUCGGCUACCACCGUCGCACCCUUCCAGGGGCUCAAGUCCACAGCCGGUCUCCCCGUCAGCCGCCGCUCCAGCGCCAGCCUCGGCAGCGUCAGCAAUGGCGGAAGGAUCAGGUGCAUGCAGGUAUGUCGGGGCACAAAACUGAUAUGAGUUUCUUCCACAUUACAAUUACUGCACUUAGCAGUUACUAGCACUAAGUGUUAAGCGUUCCAUAAUUUCCAAUCAUUCAGGUGUGGCCGAUUGAGGGUAUCAAGAAGUUCGAGACCCUGUCUUACUUGCCACCCCUCACCACGGAGGCCCUCCUGAAGCAGGUUGACUACCUGAUCCGCUCCAAGUGGGUGCCCUGCCUCGAGUUCAGCAAGGUUGGCUUCGUCUUCCGUGAGCACAACAGCUCCCCCGGGUACUACGACGGCCGAUACUGGACAAUGUGGAAGCUGCCUAUGUUCGGAUGCACCGACGCCACACAGGUGCUUAACGAGGUGGAGGAGGUCAAGAAGGAGUACCCUGACGCUUAUGUCCGUAUCAUCGGCUUCGACAACCUGCGGCAGGUGCAGUGCGUCAGCUUCAUCGCCUUCAGGCCACCGGGUUGCGAGGAGUCCGGCAAGGCAUAAACUACGAGGUGAAACAAUGGCCUAUGUCGUAUGAAGGUCUUUUGUGAAUUUCACUUUUGUCCACGACUCUGCUUUCCGACCAGAGCAUAACUUUCUUCUUUAUGAUCUGUGUAUGUACGAGCAUAGGUUGUGGAGCAUAUAUGCAUAUGUAAAUUCUAGCACCCCCUACACAUAUCCAACACCUGUGUCAUAUUUAUAAUAUACAACAAGCGGACCAUUGUCUUGCUGUUAAUUAUCGGAAAAGUUUAUUUUAUUUAGCACUGCAAUGGAUGUCUCACAACUAGUGGGUGGAAGAUUCCAGUAUUUGACAUUAAGACCCACUGAUU